UGUUGGGACUGUUACUACUACCCCAUAUCAAUUUUGAUAACUCGUAUCCCUUCUGUUCAUGGCUCUUUGAGAAGCUUCUGUCUUUGCCAUCCUUCUCUCUACUUGCGUUAUUCACAUACUUCUUCUUCAACCUCCUGACUUUAUCCACCAACUGAGCUCUACUAACGUCAACAUGCAAUGACUUUUUGAUGAACUCAUGAAACGCACCCAUAUCAGCAACGGGAUUCUCACCGUUUUUCUCAGUUUUGUAAUCAAUCAUACCUUUCAGUAUAACAAUCUCAUCAUCCUCACUCCACAGCCUCUGAAACAGCUGCUUCUUCGAGUCGUCAUCGGUUGUCGUCGUGCUCUUCUUAGCUUUCUUCGUAUCUUUCUCAACCACCGGAGGAGGUGCUGGUCGCUUAGCCUUCGCCGGAGAUGGAACUGAGCUAGCUUUCGAUCCGGAUUUUUUGGCUGAUUUCGAUUCGACGUUCGCUACGUCCUCUCGCUCCAUAGGUUUCGAGGAGAUAGGUUUGAUGUUGGGAUCAGCGACCAUGGAUUUUUUGGGUUGCGAAUCGGAAUCGGUAUCAGAACCUGAUUCCUCCGUUUCAGAUGAAGAUAGAUCUGGUGGUUGUGGUUUGGUGGCGAGUUGACGAGGUGGAAUUAAUGGUUUCUUUGGCUCCUGUUUCUGUUUCGGUUCGGAAUCUGAAUCGGAGGCUUCUUCUGAUCCUGAGUCGGAUGUUUGUUCAUCUUCUGAACCAGAGACUUCUUCCUCCUCCUCUUCUUCUUCUUCGUCGUCCGAUGAAGAUGGAUGGUUAGGUUUGAGGUCAGAUUGCCGAUUGUGCGCCAUUAUUUUGAGAGAUUGCUGGUUUCCAAUUUAGGGUUUGUAAAGCGACAGGAGGAAGAAAAGGGGUGCCAGCUGCUCUAUCGAUGUGUAGUCCCUCACGCUUCUAUAGUUCUAUGUACGGCAUGCGGGGAUACGAGUUAACUUCUUAUUUUUGAUAAAAAGAAGUUUGUUAGAUGAGAUACACAUUCUCACCUAUAGUAUCACUAGAAGUUUUAGGUUUUUGGGACACAAAAAAAUAAUUUUAUUUAAAAAGUAUUUUUUUUUAAAAUAAAAAACAUAUAACUUUUCAAUAUUCGUUUUAGAAGAUUUUAAAAAACUAUAUCUAAAAAUACUAUGGAAAAUAAUUCAGGAUGAUUAUGAACUUUUGAUUUUGUUCAUGUUUAGUUUUUUUUUACACCAUAUAUUAUUCAAUUUGUUAAAGUUGUUUAUAUUUUAUCCUUGCAAUCGGUUGUCGUAGGGUAUAAGAAUAAUAUGUGUAUAGUUUCAACAAGUUAAAUGAUAUAUAAUGUAGAACAAAAAAAAGAUGACUAAAUAUAAACAAAAUCAAAAAUUCUUUUGAUAACCAAUAUUUAUAUGAGAAUUUGAGAAAAAAAAAUUCAACUAAGAUAUUUCAAAACUUAUACCAUGAAACCACCCUUAGCAUCUGGUAGUAAACUACUAAGAGGGGGAGGAAGGGUCAUUUUCUUAGUGUUAGACUAUGUUUAUUGAUUUAUUCAGUUUUGUUUAAUGUUUUUUACUUCAAAAAUAGAGAAAACUACUCAGAUGGUCCCUGUGAUUUGGGGUUACUUUCAUGCUUUGUCAAUAACUUAAUUUUUAAACUCGGACUAUCCAAACAUUUGACAUUUGUUACCCAUCUGGUCCCUAACUUAACAUUUCGUCCAUUACUCAGUUAGAAUACCCCACGUUUCGUCUAUUCAUUAAGACAGUUCCUAGCGUCGUUUAGAAUGAAAAACGUCUACACAAUCACAAGUUAUUCGAACAAAUAAGAAAACCCAUAAAAUCACCAUCCCAAUAAAAACCGUAAUUGAUGUUAAGACCCUACUGUGGCAUUGAAGAACAAGCAUGGCAAGUUGGAGGAUACAUGCAAACAUGGAAGAAAUUGAUGUUCAUUCUAGAUACGGUAUGUUUUAAAAACCAAGAUUUUGGAAUUUGUAAUCUUUCCAUUCUUUUCACAUAGAAGGUUAAUGUCAAUCUUCUCAUUUUAAAUUAGUUGGGCAUCCGACUGUAUUUUCCAUAAGGUUACAUCAUAAUGGAAAAUUUACUGGUUUUCCAGAAAGAAAGUAUAUCUGGGGAAAACGAAAUUAUGUUGACUUACUUGAUGUUGACACAUUUUCGGUGCAUGACAUCGACGAUAUAAUGGAAAAACUAGGGUAUGUUUAACCCCACAUGGUGACGGAGAAGAUGUACUAUCAUUUUCAAAGACCUUUAUGUAAUUUAGAUUUUGAUCUUUUUUGCUUUGGGUUCUGAUGAUGGUGUUCGCUAUUUUGGCUCGAUAUGUUGGUCAACAUAAGCUGAUAGAUGUGUACACGGAGCAUGGUGAAACCAAACUGCAUACAUACUCAAUGUCCCCCAAUCCAUGUAAGGUGCAUAUAAUUGAAAUUAAGCAACAUCUUACUUGCUAUAAACGAUUGUUUUUGAAUUGGCAUGAUACUAUUGAACCCCAAGUGGCACUUGGGCAAGAUAGUACCACAAACCAAACUAAUGAAUUUGAUCAUGACAGUUUUACAGGUAAUGUGGACAUGGAAAAUAUAAGUAAUCAUGAUAGUUUUGGAACCAAUAUGGACAUGGAAAGUGAACAUGAUACCAGCAGUAAUGAUGAGUGUUAUCUUGUGGACGAAGAUAAUAUGAUACAUGAUGUAGAUGUUGAUAUGCAUGAUUUCCACAUGAACAUUGACCAUAAUGUUCAAUGGGUUGGAGGUGCAACUACAACAACCACACCUGAGUCUUCGUCAGAUGAAGGAAAUAUGAAACAUCCCAAAAAUACAGUCUAAAAAUUUCGUUUUAAAUCAUUAAGAAAACCAUAAGUUAUCAAACAUCAUAUAAAAAUCAUAAGUCAUGUAUCUCAAUAUAUCAUAACAUCUAUCAAAAUACUUCAGAGUAUAUACAUCCCAUGCUAACAAUGGUGUGUGCACUGCAAUCAUCCUGAGCUCUUCCCCUUGCUACUGGAAGUACCUGAAACCAAAACUGAAAACUAUAAGCAUGAAGCUUAAUGAGUCUUCCCAAACUACCACAUACCAUACACAUAAUCACAUAAUAACAUACAUUGGGCCUUUCCCACUACAUCGGGGCCCGCCCCACAUCAGACGAAUCCAACAUUGGGCCCUGUCCGACAUCGAACUGAAGUCCAGCAUCGGGCCUCGCCUGAUAUUAGACCGAAGUCAGGUAUACAUAUAACAUAUCAACAAGCAUAUAACAUAAACACACAACAUAAACAUAUAAACAUUCCUCGGGCUUGCCCUGACAUCGGCCCAAAGCCCGGAACAUAUAAACAUAACAUAUAAGUUAAACAUUCCUCGGGCUUGCCCCAACAUCGGACCGAAGCCCGGAACAUAUACACCUAACAUGUAAGUUAAACAUUCCUCGGGCUUGCCCCGACAUCAGACCGUAUCCCGAAACACAUAAACAAACACAUGCAAGAAUAACGAAGACAUCAAGCAUACAAACAUCCCUCGGGCUUUCCCCGGCAUCGAACCGAAGUCCAGAAACAUAUAACCUACAUCGAGCUAACCCCGGUAUCAAACUGAAGUCCGGCAUAUGCUAACAUACAUAAACGGGCCAGCAUUGGUGCCUUCGACCCGUUCCUACUGGAGGAAAACUCACCUCACACUGUUGAAGCCCCGCGAAUAAAUCUCUUACUACUGACUGACAGAUUCUCGAACUGUCAAUAUCAAAACAAAACUCAAUUAACCAUUUGGGUUUCAAUGCAUAACCGUAAACCCACACUUGGGGUAAAAUGACCAUUUUACCCCUAACCUAGCUUGGUCCAAGACCAAGGCCCAAACUCAUUCUCUGAAGGCCUAAAAGUCAAAAAAUGAACUAAAGCCCAACAUACGGCCCAAUUUUCUAAAUUAGGACCAAACCUCUACAUAGUCCUAACUUAAGACCCGACCAUUUGUUCUAGUCCAAACAUUUGGCAUUCUGAUGGUCUAAUAUCCCAUAAUCAUCAAACCCCAUUUAUGGCCCAUCUAUGGCUCAAUUUUUCAAAUUAGGCCCAAACCUUUCCAAUGGCCCUUAUCCUUAAGCCCAAUCCAAAUGUUCUAGUCCAUAUAUUUGUUAAUAGUUGGCCCAUCAAGAGUCCAGACAUUUAGGCCCAACUCAAAACCCAACACAAUUAGGGUUUUCACAUGAAAUGACGAUCAGGGUUAAUUAGAAACACUUAACACAUUAAGGACAUAAUCCAUUAAGUCCAUCAAUCUACUAGGUCAAUCAUAAAGUGUGGUCGGGCUUAAUUCACAAUUCCAAUCCAGUCGUCCAAAAUGUAGGUCCCGCCAAGUCCAAAAUUAAAAUCUCCAAGAUUAGGGUUUUCUAAACCCUAAUUAGGGUUUCCAACCCAAACCACGCCAAUCAGUCCCAAAAGCUAAUUCUUUAGAUCAAUUAGGGUUUCAUUAGGUAAGGCACCACCCACUAUCACCUCGGGUAGUGGUGGUCAACAGCGGCUCAUGGCAGAAACCACCAACUCGUGGUGGUGGUGGUUGUGAUUCUAGAUCGAAAACAUCCAAGCAUAUCACAGAUAGCAAUCCAUUCACACUCAAAUGCACACCGCCACCCAACACGGCGGUUGAUGGCGACAGAAGGUGGCAACAACCACCUCACAGUGGUGGUUGUGGUGAUUUCCUUGAUUAUUCCUGCCAAAACUAAAAUUAUACAACAUAAUGUUCCAAAAUAAACACACACACACAAUAUAACACACACACUCAGCCACCCUUGUGGCGGCAGACGGUGGUCGGAGGUGAUAGCCACCACCUCACGGUGGUGGUGAUGGCUCCUUUUGUGGUGUCCGGCCAAACAAAGCACACACACGGUAUGUACAACAGCAGUAGAAACAUAUACACUCGUCUUUUGCUCGUAAAGCGAACCCAAUCACCCACCUGCGGUGGGCGGCGACGACAACGGGUGGAGCAACCGGCAAUAGUAGCGCCGACAGUCGGCGUUGUCGGUGGCAACAAUGGCUUCUUCUUUAAUGAGACGACGCAUUGGCAGAAGAAUGGGGAAGAGAUGUGGUGACCGCGAACGACAGCAACAACGACAGAGGGAUAGAACCUGCUAGUGGUCUUCGUCGUCACCGGCAAAGGGAACAAUGACAACGCUGGAUGGUGGCUCACACGGCGGCAUGGUCGUCCGCUAAUGAAGAUGGUUAAUCGGAGCUUCGACAGGUCGGAAAUGAAGGAAGCCGGGUGGUCACUUGGUGGCCGCUAGCUGGUCGGAACGAACUAGGUGAAUGGUGGAAGCAGCCGGAGUUGGUUGAGUGAGGAUGGUGGCUGGGAAGUCAUUAGGGUUAGGGUUAUGGCACGGGUGACGGGUUUAUAUGUCUUGUACAAAUCCAAACAUUUGACCAUAUUGACACUUUCAGUCCCUCCUUCUCCUUUUCCUUUCAAAUUAAAUCCAACAUUUACCAAUUCAGCCCUCAGCAUUCCUAACUCUUUUCAAUUUAUGUCCUAAUAAUUACCAAGCAGCCCCUGUCUUCAAAAAUCUUUACAAAAUAAAUCCUAGAAUUAUAUUUUAACCCCUGAAUAAUCCAAAUUAUAAAAUUUGGCUCCCCGAAACCAACACCCCACUAAGUAUUAUGGAUUUUUGGGCUACUAUUCAUUCAUUAAUUUUAUCUAUUUAUUUAUUUAAUAGCGGGAUGUUACAACUACCCCCCCCCCCCCCACACACACACUUAAAUUAGAUUGCGUCCUCGAAAUCAUUCUUUUCAAUUCUUGUCACGCCAAACAACUUGAGCGUCAUGGACACAAUGUAACGCCCGUGUUUCCAGGCUAGGAAUUUAUGACAAUGUAAUAGUCUAAGUUAACAUUUGUAACCCGUCUUGAAAUAAUAAAUAUGUAUUAUUUGAGUAUUAUGUGUUUUGUGCUUAAUUGUGUGACUUAAUGAAUUAAGGAUAAAAAUAAGCGUCAAAAUGAAAUGUUAGAUAAACCCGAUAUCUAUGAAGGAUGUGGUAGUGGUUGUGACGAGGUUUCCGAAUAUAUAAAGAAUGUUGAAAUCCGAGUUAUAACGAAGAAGUUAUAACCAAGUCCACAUAGAGUUUACGGCCGUAAACUCAUAAAGAAAUGGUCCUUAGGCCGUAAACUCUAUAAAGAGGUGAUAUUGUGCCCCUAAUACUUCUUAAGGCUUGGACUUGAUCAUAGAAUGCUUACUCUUGACUUAUAAGACCUUAAAUCACCAAAUGGCACUUAGUACCAUGAGUUUACAGCCGUAAACUCAUGGGGGAAAUGACCAUAGGCCGUAAACUCCAUAAGGAAUGGUCCUUGGGCCAUAAACUCCAAAGCCAUGCCAUGCAACCUUUAAAUGCAACCCUUUAGUACCUAUAGCACUUGAAUCAAAGUGUUUCCAUGUCCUAGGGUGUCUUAACUUAGUUAAUUAGUUGUUAAAUGACUAAUUGGAUACAUAUAUGUUUUAUUAUAUGUUAACUAGGAUAAUUGCGUGUGUUCAAGUUUUCACUUGACACCUAGCACCUUGUCCAACAUUUCCAUACAAUCUACUCACUACAGGUGAGUUCAUACCCCUUAAUUAACCUUUUAAAUGUUUUUAAAUGCUUUUAUGGGGGGGGGGGGGNGGAAUACAAGUUGAAUCAUGAUAGUUAUUAUAUCAAUCACAUGUGAUUAAUAACUAGCAUACAAAUGGAUUUACUACACUUUUAGCUGUUUACCAAGCAUACUACUUCUAAAAUGAUUUUCUCAAACGUUGUUACAUGUUAAACUCUUUAUCAAACUGUCUUACAUAUUGUAUCCUUCCUUUCAAACCCUGUUACAACUGUGUUUCAAACAAAGGUUUUCAUGUAUUUCAAACUCUAUUUCAGACAAAAGAUUUCUUAUACUUUAAAUUGUUUAUAUCAAACAAACUGCUUUUAAACUGUUUUAUAAAUCAACAUCAAGUAAUCAAUUCUUAUUUAUUAAACUUUUCAAAGGUUUUACAAAACUUCUUUUAAACUUUUAUAUUGUCAAAUGCAUGCCUAUAUAUGUAUAGUUAUAUAAGCAAUGUUUAAAGGACUUAGGACUGCUAGCUCGCUUUAAUUCAUUUUCCUUGUUUGGAUGUGGCCUUAGGGUAUCGGUUAUUUGUCCGAAUAUCGUCUAAAUAUUAGUUAUAUAUUAUGUAUACAUAUAUAGACAUAAAAGUUCUAUCAGUCAAUUUAGUACCUUUGGGUAGCAAAGGCAUACUUUCGGUUAUACACGUACAUUACUAGUAACUAUAAUAGUUAGGAGAUACUACAUACUAUUCCUAGUACAAGGAAUCACAAUAGAGUCAGUUCAUUCAUGAGUCUAUACAAAUAUAUUACAUACUAUAUGAAGAGAUACUAUUACAUACUAUAUGAAAAGAUACUAUUACAUACAAUACGGGAUUGACCAUUCUACACCUGGUUGUUAGCUACAGUGGAAAAAUGCACAUCGACGGAUGUCUACGGUUGUACUGUUCGGCGAGUUUCCACGUCGUGUUUAUCCUAGUACAAAAGGAUACGAUUUCAAUAAUUAUAUUAUUUUCCUUAUUACCUUUAUUUUGUGACACAUUCACAUAAUCGAUGAGGCGGACUAGAUUUUAAUAAUAAUAGUUGUACAAGGGAAAAACGUUCAUUUUUGCAGAGGUUCAAACCUUCAAAACAGUCGAGUCUUGGUAGAAGACUACUUUUUAUACUAGUAGGAAAUAUGAGAUUUUCUAGGGUUUUCAUACUUAUACAAAAUUGUUCUUCAAACAUUUACAAGUCUUUUCUUUACAGUUUUACAAAUCAACGACAUUGAAAUACUUAUGAAUUCCCCAGCUUAAAUGCUGAUCUACGCUUUCAAAAUAACUUGUAUUCUCAGGUUACCAGUAGACAGGUACGAUGACCAGGUUUUGUGAAAACGGAGCAGUCAAGACUCAUCUUUUCAUUUUGAUUAUUCAUUAUGUUGUCUUAUUCUAUGAAAGAACACACUUGUAUUGAAAAUUAUACUAUUAAUGCAAUGGGUGAUGUUGUUGCUUGUUUACUACUUUGCAUUGUUGUGAUAUUUUACAUGACGUCCUCCGCCCCAGAACGUUUCCGCCGUUCUUGGUUUUGGGGUGUGAUAGUAGCCUAUACUAAUUAUACUCUUUAGGAAUAACAACUUAUAUACUCUUUUAGAUNAUUACUAAUUAUACUCUUUAGGAAUAACAACUUAUAUACUCUUUUAGAUAGAAUAGGUUUUAUUAAAAAUAAAAAAAUAAUAAUACAUUAAACAUUUCAUCAAACAGUUUGUAUGCAUACAAAAUAUGUAAAUCUAAUAAGAACAAAAACUGUGUUUAUAAGUACAGAUUGGUGAGGCUCUUUAGAAUGUUCUAAGGAGAUGAUAACCUUAUAAAUUUUAGUUGAAAAUAAAGGACAAAAAAGGAAGAAUAGGCAGAGGAAUUGAUUAAGCAACAUUAUAUGUGGUGAUGAGAUGCUAACUUGAAAUUCUACUGAAACCCUUGCUUUAUGGAAAUCGACUAGAAUAAAAAGAAGUUAUUAUAGAGAUUAAUUGAUACUAUAACUUGAUUAAAGCCCUCGCUUAUAGAAAUCAAUUAUGAUUUUGAUUAUGCUUCCAAGUAUAUGAAGAGAGUAAAAUCGGAAUUAUAGAGUUCUCAUUCCCUCUCAAUAUGUGAUUAAUUUCCUUUCAUACCAAGUAGCACCUUGACAUACACACACACUUGAUCUGCCUUCUCCUAUCCAGUGUCUAUCUUCUUCUCGGGAUAGCACGGCUACCCCUGCCAACUAACUAGUUAUGCCCUUGACAUGUAUGUGCGACUCAUGACACACCCUAAUACGGGUUGCAGCUAAAUUUAAGAUCACAUCUGUAACGCCCCGAUCCACAUGGUUAGUUGCUUGUUGGUUGGGUUGAGGCGGUCCUGUUUUGUGUUGAAGACCAACACACCCUCUGAGCGGUCCGGGGAGACUGUAGGCCCACGCGGCGGACCAGUCAUGCCGAAGGCUCGGGAUAGAUUCAGAUAGACUGUAGGCCCAGUAGGGCGGACCAGUCCGGCCAAUGGCUCAGUAUGUAUGCUGUUUGAUUGAUCGUUAUGGCUAUGGUUCCUGCCAGUGUGGUAUUGGUAUUUUGGGGGUAGCUCACUAAGCCCUCUGGCUUACAGUUUUCAGUUUAUUGUUUCAGGUACUUCAUGAGAGCGAGGGAAGACAAAGGCGUAACCGUACCACUCCUCAUCCUCAUGAUCUAUUUUGGGACACUCUGAUGAUAAAUGAAUUGGAAAUGUUUUGUAAAAACAAUCACUAUCUGACUCUUUUGUUAGUAUUAAAAGUUUAAAUUUGGCAUAAAUUUUAUGGGUGUUACAAGUUGGUAUCAGAGCCUUGAUUUGAGUGAAUUGGAGGAACACUCGUGUGAAUCCAGUCUCAAAUCAAGGAGAUUUUCGGAAAAUAAGUUUUAAAAUGGUUUUCAAAAUAAAGGAUGGAGGAUGUAGAGGGUACGAUCAGCCGGAGCCUGUAAGUAAGCCCCAAAAUACCAUACAGUUAUUUGAUAUUCUGAUAUGUUAGAACAACAUGCUAGUGCUAGGCUAGGGAAUUUCAGGAAUCACAUGAUAGAUUGGCCUAAUUGUAUGAUACCUAUUAGCCUAGGGUUUCUUGUAUAUGGGAUUGACAUCAUAACUGUAGAUGUUUAGUGUAUGCAUCACGGUUGUGUGUAGUCAAGAUCUUAUAGCCUGAGAAUGUCCAAUUCGACCUUAGUGUAGGAUCAGAUAUUCAAAAGUCUAUCGGUCCAGCGUUAUGUGCAGCCAGUGUACACUAGCGCUACAGGGGAUGAUGGAAGUUUCAUUGAUGUGUGAGUGGUGCGGAACUGCAGGAUCAAUUGCUAGUUAGGCGAUGUCCCCUGUUAGUGAGGGUUGAGCGCAUAUUAUGUUAAAUAUAGUUUAGGGCGUUGUGGUGAUACUUGAGACAAAUAUGGGUAGGUGUGGAAGGUAGUAGGGGCCCAUACUACUGAAAGCACAGGACCCAUACGCGUAUCAAGGAAGUCACAACCCCGAGGGAUUGAGGGUAAUUCGUCUUCCGUCAUUAUAUGAUUUGUCUGAGACAUUGUGUGUGUUUGCAGUAUGGUGGUGACGAGACGUGUUGCUUCGGGAUCCGGAUCAGGAUCAGGAUCAGGGUCAGGGUCAGGAGACGGAGGAUUGGAGGUGCCGGUAGCACCUGAGCCCGUCGUUCAGAUAGGGACUGAGGAGUUGGAUGCUCGAAUUCGAGAGAUCAUGCACGACGAGAUUGCUGCUGCAUUCCGAGCGCAGCUGCCAGAGAUGUUUGGAUCGAUUAAGAUCGCAAUGGUCAAGUAUUUUGAUGAGCGGUAUGCCGCUCUAGUAGAGACAACUGCCGCUGCAGCCACUUCGGCUGUAACUGCUGCAUGGGUUGGAGGAGGAGCCGGCAGGGCUUUCCAGUACCGGGACUUCGACAAUACGAAGCCCCUGACAUUUGAUGGUACAUAGGAUGCUAUUCGGGCUAUGAGGUGGUUAUCUGACGUGGAGGGAUGUUUCUUCACGUGUUCAUGCCCUGCUGACUAGAAGGUCAGGUGUGCCCUGAACCUGCUGAGGCUUGGGGCGAAGGACUGGUGGAGGCUGAUGACUGGGUUGUAUACUGAUGAUCAGAGGGCUACUAUUACCUAGGAGCAGUUCCGGGAUAUGUUUUGCACCUGCUACGUUCCGCACGUGGAACGGGAGCGGCUUGCUCAGGAGUUUUUUACUUUGAGACAGGAUGGGGAGUCAGUGAUGGAGAUUACUCAGAUGUUCACGGAGAGGGCUAUGUUUUUCCUGGUGUUUGCAUCGGGGCAAUCUCAGAUGACCAUAUCUGAGUAUGCUUAAGACGGAUAUACGACAGUUUGUGGCUAUACAGCGUUGCGAUACCCUUCUGGAUCUUCAAAAAGCCGCACGGCGGCGUGAGUUGGAGAUAGAGCUGCAGCUAAAGGAGCAGCGUCAGGCACCGACACAGUCUCAGUCGGCGCCUAAGCGGUCUAAAACCGCUGAUACACGGGCCAAGGGUCAUCAGAGCCGCACUUAUGGAAAGUGUGGCAAGGCUCAUUCAGGGGUUUGUCGAGCAGGAGUUGGGUGCCACAAAUGUGGUAAGGAGGGGCACUAUGCCAGGGACUGUCGUCAGUCCGCCCCUCCAGCAGAUAUGAGGAUUUGUUUCCAUUGUCAUCAGGUUGGUCAUGUGAAGACCAACUGUCCGCAGCUCGCUGCCAAGCCGGCGCAGGGUUCCGCACCAGUUACUGUGAGGAUUGGAGAUGGGAGGCCAGUCAAGAUGGAGCCUCCGAAGGCUCAGGGUCGCGCCUUCCAGCUCACGGCCGAGGAGGCCAAGGUAGCACCGGAUGUGGUUGUUGGUAUGUUUCUAUUCUCUAUCUCAGUUAUUGUAUUUGUUCUAUGCUUAUUGGUUGUGCCCAUGAUCAGAUACGUUUUUAGUAAAUUCUUUGCCUGCUUUGGUUUUAUUUGACUCGGGGGCGAGUCGGUCGUUCGUAUCUCAGACUUUCUUUAGAGGGUUCAUUGUGCUGAUAGAUGAUCUUGAGUGUCUGUUGCGAGUUUCGAUCGCUAACGAGCACGGGGUUUCUGCUUCUUCGGUCUACCGAGGAUGCGAGUUGGAGAUUUUUGGGGUGUCUUUCCCGAUAGAUUUGAUUCCUAUUCCCAUGGGGGAUGUAUGCGUGAUUGUAGGAAUGGAUUGGCUUAGCUGUUUUGGCGCCAUGAUCGACUGUGAGGGACAACGGGUAGUGGUUCGAACCCCAAGUGGGGGAGAACUGGUAGUAUAUGGUGAGGGAACCAGGUCGGGAUCAGGGUUUUGUUCGGCGGCCAGGGCUCGACAGUAUAUUUAGCACGGGUGUGCCAGUUAUUUGGCGUAUGUGGUAGAUACGCGGGUUAGAGAGUAGAUCUCAGUUUCAGAGGUCCCAAUGGUUAGAGAGUUUGCUGAUGUGUUUCCGGAGGAGUUACCCGGAGUGCCUCCGGUGAGGCAGGUUGAGUUUAGGAUUGAUCUAGUGCCAGGUGCGGCCCCAAUUGCCAAGGCGCCAUACCGUUUGGCACCGCCAGAGAUGCAGGAUCUAUCAUCUCAGCUGCAAGAACUGCUGGGUAAGCAGUUUAUUCGUUCGAGUAGCUCACCCUGAGGAGUAGCGAUCCUCUUCGUCAGGAAGAAGGAUGGUUCGCACAGGAUGAGAAUUGACUAUAGGGAGCUGAAUAAGUUAACGGUGAAGAACCGUUAUCCACUCCCGAGGAUAGAUGAUAUUUUCGACCAGUUGCAGGUUGCAUCUUGGUUUUCCAAGAUCGAUUUGAUAUCAAGAUACCACCAGGUCAGGGUGAGGGAGUAAGAUGUGGAGAAGACCACGUUCUGGACUCGUUAUGGUCAUUACGAGUUCGUGGUGAUGCCGUUUGGACUCACCAACGCGCCAGUAGUAUUCAUGGAUCUGAUGAACCGAGUCUGCAGACUGAUGAUCGAUCGCUCGGUCAAUGUGUUUAUAGAUGAUAUCUUGGUGUAUUCCAAGACCCGAGAGCAUCAUGAGGAGCACCUCAGGGAGCUAUUGGAGGUGCUGCGACGAGAACAGCUUUAUGCCAAGUUCUCGAAGUGUGAGUUCUGGUUGCGAGAGGUUCAGUUCCUUGGACAUCUCGUUAACCAGGAUGGGAUUUUGGUCAAUCCGGCCAAGGUGGAGGCGGUUAUGCAGCGGGAGACUCCGAGAUCUCCCUCAGACAUCAGGAGUUUUCUGGGAUUAGCAGGGUAUUAUCGGAGAUUCAUUCGUGAUUUCUCCAAGGUUGUCGUACCCCUCACUCGUCUAACGAGGAAGGGAGUAGAUUUCUGGUGGGGCCCAGAGCAGCAUAGGGCGUUUGAGACAUCCGACGGCGGUUAUCCGAGGCGUCAGUGUUGACACUCCUCGAGGGAGUGGAGGAUUUCGUGGUAUAUUGUAAUGCGUCCAUCACAGGCUUAGGGGCAGUCCUCAUGAAGAGGGGGCGAGUGAUGGCUUAUGCAUCGUGGCAGUUGAAGCCGCAUGAGAUGAGAUACCCCACGCACGAUCUUGAGCUAGGAGUGGUGGUCUUCGCUCUCAAGAUUUGGAGGCACUAUCUGUACGGGGUCCGUUGUACCAUAUACACGGAUCAUAAGAGUUUGAGGCACAUAAUGGAUCAGCCGAACUUGAAUAUGAGGCAGCGCAGGUGGCUGGAUGUAGUCAAGGACUAUGAUUGCGAGAUCCUUUACCAUCCUGGUAAAGCGAAUGUGGUUGCGGAUGCUCUGAGCCGCAAGUCAGCAGGGUCUUCUACCCCAGCCAGGUGUAUGAGGAUAGCGGUGGAUUCCCCGCUGGUGGGUUUUGUUAGGGAUGCUCAGAUCGAGGGUAUGAAACCGGAGAACUGGAAAUUGGAAAGGAUUAAGGGCGAAAGCGCCUGGUUUGUUCAGGAUAGCCGCGAGCUAUUGACCCAAUAUGGUCGGGUUUGGGUUCCGAUGACCGGAGGAGUUAGGCAGACAGUAAUGGAGGAGGCUCAUAAGUCUCGUUUUUCUAUUCACCCGGGGGCUACCAAGAUGUACCGUGAUUUGAUUUUGAGUUAUUGGUGGCCUGGUAUAAAGCGAGAUAUCGCCAGUAUGUUGAGAGGUGCUUGACCUGUAGGAUGGUCAAGGCUGAGCACCAGAGGCCGCAUGGUAAGCUGCAGCCUCUGGAGAUUCCCAUGUGGAAAUGGGAAUGGAUCGCGAUGGAUUUCAUCACGAAAUUGCCAAGAACGGCAAAGGGAUUCGACGCUAUAUGGGUCAUCGUGGAUCGAUUGACCAAGAGUGCCCAUUUCCUAGCUAUACGGGAGAGUUCGUCGGCAGAGAAAUUGGCCGACCUAUACGUCCGCGAGAUUGUCUCUCGCCAUGGGGUUCCAGUUUCCAUAGUUUCCGAUCGGGAUGUCCGAUUUACUUCCCGUUUUUGACAGAAGUUCCACGAGGAACUAGGUACGAGGCUGCAUUUUAGUACAGAGUUCCAUCCGCAGACUGAUGGGCAGAGUGGGCGGACCAUUCAGACCCUCGAAGAUAUGUUGAGGGCGUGCGUUAUUGAUUUCGAUGGGAGUUGGGAUUCCCACCUACCACUUGUAGAGUUCGCCUACAACAACAACUAUCAUUUCAGUAUUGGUGUCCCGCCUUUCGAGCUGUUGUAUGGGCGGAAGUGUAGGACCCCAGUCUGUUUGGGCGAGGUUGGGCACAGGGUGAUAGGUCGGACAGAGGUAGUUCUGCAAACUACCGAGAUGAUACAACAGAUUAGACAGCGGCUGCAGACCGCUCAGAGUCGAUAGAAGAGUUAUGCAGAUCGACGUCGAUCUGAGUUGGAAUUUUAGGAGGGUGACAUGGUUCUCCUGAAGGUCUCACCCUAGAAGGGUGUGAUCCGUUUCAGGAAAAGGGGAAAAUUAGGUCCCCGAUACAUCGGGCCGUUCAGGAUUGUUGCCAGGGUUGGCAGUGUGGCUUAUAGGAUAGAGCUUCCGGAGGAACUUAGCUGAAUCCACAACACAUUUCAUGUUUCGCAAUUGCAAAAGUGCAUCAUGGACCAGGAGGCAGUGGUAUCGUUGGAUGACAUUCAGGUCGAUGAGAGCCUGAACUAUGUGGAGAGGCCUGUAGCUAUUUUGGAAAGGAAGAAGAAGAUUCUGUGAAACAAGGAAAUACCUUUAGUAAAGGUGCAGUGGGAACAUCGGAGGGGAUCCGAGUGGACGUGGGAGCCGGAAGCGAAAAUGCGCGAGCAUUACCCGACAUUGUUUUCUUCAGCGGACUUCGAGGGCGAAGUCUAGUUCAAGUGGGGGAGAAUUGAUUAAGAAUUCCUGGACGAAGCUCUACUCGACGAGUUGGUCGACCUACUCGUCGAGUAGCAGCGGGGUGAGAACACGUGUUUAGUGACCUACUUGGCGAGUCCACUAUUGGGACUCGGCGAGUAGGAGCUGACAGAUGAAACCCUAAAUCCCGGGGUUUGCACCCUUAUUUAAAGGAGCCUCAACCUCCUUUGGGUCUCCUUACAGUCUUUGAGAGCCCUUAAAACCCUAAUUCGUGUGUGUGUGCCUUGGUGUGGGUUUGAAGCUUGGAAAAGAGGAUCUUGGAGGAAGGAAGCUAAGAGUGCAAAGGAAAUUGAAGCAAGAAAGGAUUGGGAAGCAGGUUUUGCCUCAACAAGCAUCGUUUGAAGGUAUCAAAGUGCCAUUCUUACUUCCUUUUCUUCCCUUUUGUUGAGUUCUAGGGCUUUUUAUGGAUUUUCAAGUUGGGAUGUUGAGCUAUGGGCUAGAUCUGAAGUUGUAACUUCAGAUCUGGACCCUCCUUGGAUGCUAGAGUCAUAAAGUUGUUGUAUUGGUUGUGAUUGAAGUUCCUCUUGGACUAGAAGCUCCAUUAAGAACUUAAAAUAGACAUUUGGAGCCUUUAUAACCAUGCAUGCACGUAAAGUUUGCAACUUUACUUGGUAAGUAUGCCCUAGAAGCUUGGAUCUGUGAUUUGGAGCCACUGCAUGGCUCAAAACAAGUCUGUAUGGAAAGAGGACUGGAUGGACUCGGCGAGUCGCAAGAAUGAUCUCGGCGAGUCACAUGAAGAUGGUCAUUGAACUCGGCGAGUUGGAUGAACAACUCGGCGAGUUCGAUGAAGAUCGCCAUAAAACUCGACGAGUUGAAGAACAACUUGGCGAGUCGGAUGGCUUUUCCCUAGGAUAUGCAUGCAUGUGUACCCGUCGAGUGGCAAGGAGGAAACUCGACGGGUGGCCUUAAGGAUUGAUCAGGAUUCGAAGGAACUCGACGAGUCACUCCGAUGACUCGGCGAGUUGGAAUGUGUUCCAUGGACUCGGCGAGUGGCCGAGUGUACUCGGCGAGUUGAGGUCAACAUGGAUUGUUGACCUUGACUAAGGAUUUUGACCUUGAUCAGGAAUCACUAAAAGGUUAUGGGGUGUCUCAUAAGAGUAAGAACUUAUGAGUAUAUUGUGUUAUGGUUAUAGGUGGUGGAGCCGGUGUCAAGUGAUCCGAUAGUCGGAGUUGCAUUUCGAAUCGACAUCUGCAAGGUGAGUUAUCCUCACUAUAUCGAUAGGGUCUACGACGCCAAGGCCGACCCUUUAUGAUUUACAUCUUGGUUUAGGAUGGUUGCUUUGUUAUUGCCAUGUUAGAUUUCAUCCUGGUUUAGGAUGGGUGUUAUGUGAUUACUAUGUUAGAAUUCAUCCUGUUUAGGAUGGUUGUUAUGCUAGAGAUCGGUUAGAUCGGUUGUCAUGGUAUGCCACAUAUGAUUCUAAUCUGUUAGAUCGAAAUCAGGAUAGAUAGUAUGAUAUGCUUUUAUGAUCCGUCAGGAUUGGUAUGUUAGUGACCUGUUAGGUCGAUGCUCUAGUUAUGAGUGAAACUCUAUGAUUGAUGGUAAAUGAGAUAGAUAUGUUUGCUAUGUGUAUGUGCCAGUAUAUGAUAGUAUGCGUACAUGGUUAGUUGCUCGUUGGUUGGGUUGAGGCGGUCCUGCUUUGUGCUGAAGGUCAACACACCCUCUGAGCGGUCCGGGGAGACUGUAGGCCCACGCGGCGGACCAGUCAUGCCGAAGGCUCGGGAUAAAUUCAGAUAGACUGUAGGCACAGUAGGGCGGACCAGUCCGGCCAAUGGCUCAGUAUGUAUGUUGUUUGAUUGAUCGUUAUGGCUAUGGUUCCUGCCAGUGUGGUAUUGGUAUUUUGGGGGUAGCUCACUAAGCCCUCUGGCUUACAGUUUUCAGUUUAUUGUUUCAGGUACUUCAUGAGAGCGAGGGAAGACAAAGGCGUAACCGUACCGUUCCUCAUCCUCAUGAUCUAUUUUGGGACACUAUGAUGAUAAAUGAAUUGGAAAUGUUUUGUAAAAACAAUCACUAUUUGACUCUUUUGUUAGUAUUAAAAGUUUAAAUUUGACGUAAAUUUUAUGGGUGUUACAACAUCCCUGGCUAUAAGCCGUCAUUUCACUACUAAAAAUUUGUUAACAAAAGAAGUUUGUUAUUAAUCGGAACCCAAUUGUUCCACCAAUGGAUAUAAUUACUUUGCGUGCAACCUUUAUCUCAAAUUCUCAAUCAAUCUACACAAGGAAUUAACACAAAAAGUUCUUGAAAUGUCUCCCGACCAAAUCCAUUAUUUUUUUUGGUGGUUGUUGGCACUAAAAAGCCCAUAUUUAAUUACGGAGUAGGACUGUGAAAUUGUUUUAUUGUUAAUUUGCGUACUUUAGUUUUAAACAUACAUAUUUAUUUAAGAGUGAAAUCAUAUGAUGUUUGUCUUUGGUUAGAAUUUGAUUUUUUAGGGUAAAUAACACAAAAGACAUUCAGGUUACAUUAAAAUUUUAAUUUGACACUGUAUUUUUUUUUCUCAAAUUUGACACUGUGUUUUCCAAUUUGUUAUAAUUUUGACCACUUAAACGGUCCGGUUACAUGCUGAAGUGACAUACUGACAUCAUAUGUUAACAUGUCAAAAUUGAAUUUUUUUUCCACAAAAAACACUAAGUUUUCAUUUUUUUUUUUUUUCGAUUUUGACACUAAGUUUAAUUUGAUCUUUCAAUUUUCACACUAAGUUUUUUUUUCCAAAGUGAAUAUCAUUUUUUUCAAUUUUGUUCAAUGCUGAUAAUUUUCUAUUUGAAACCGUAUAAAUACGUUUUUUUCAAUUAAAAACCAUAGUUUUGUAGAAAUACAAUGGCUUUUUUUUUUUUUUUUUUUUUUUUUUUUUUUUUUUAAUUUCAACCNAUAAAGCCAUAAUUUUAUGUAUAAAUAUGUAUUAGUUAUAUAUAAAACUGUAUUUAUAUUAAAUACGCAACUUUAAAAUGAGUUUGAAGGUUUGAAGGCGUGUAGUCGAUCAAAACCCGGAUGUCAAGUUUGCAACCCGUGAAAUUUUUACAUCUUAUUAGAAGAUUAUUGUUAGUUUGAUUAUCAUGAUAUAACUAAUGCAUAUUAUAAAUGCAUAUUAUAACUAAUGCGUAUUUAUACAUUAUGUUUUGAAUGUAAAAAAAAAAAACAAACAAAAACAAGAAAAAACAAAAAAAAAACACAUUGUAUUUUAAUAAAAAUGUGGUUUUUAAACAAAAAAAUAUAUUUAUACAAUUUAAAAUGUAAUAAAAAAAUAUAUUUAUACGGUUUCAAAUGGAAAAUGGUCAAAAUUGAACAAAAUUUGGUAUAUGAUGUUCGAUUUGGAACAAAAAAACAUAGUGUUAAAAUUGAAAGAAAAAAUUAAACUUAGUGUCGAAAUCGAGAAAAAAAUGAAAACUUAAUGUUUUUUGUGGAAAAAAUUCAAUUUUGACACGUCAGCAUGCCACGUCAUCAAAACUGACACGUCUUCAUGCCACGUCAGCAUGUAACCUGGUUGAUCGGUCAAGUGGUUAGAAUUGUAACAAACUGAAAAACACAGUGUCAAAGGAGAUCGCACAGACCUAUUAACACAACAAGAAGAGAGAAACGCCGUCAUGAGGCUAAGAAAGAAGAAAAACAGAGAUGAAGAAGAAAGAAAUGGACAUUUCUGGGUGUUGUAGUGGCAACGAGAAGUAAUGAGAUGUUGAAUGAGGGUGGUGUUCAUCUCUCCUUAACGGCAUAAAAGGAGGUCGUAUAAACCUAUCAAUGCAAUUGAUAGACCCAUAUCGAUUAGUCUUAAGACCAGACUGACAACAAAUAUCAAACAUUUGGAUUGUUCGAGUUAAAAAGUUAAGUUAGAGAUUAAACAUGAUAGUAACCCCAAUCCAGAGGGACCAUCCGAGUAGUUUUCUCAAGUUAUUCUGUUAUUGUAAUGAUUUAUUUAUUUUAAAUGAGAUGGAUUUAAUAAAAAUAAAAUAAUAUACAAAUGAAGUGUAACAGUUUAUUAAAUUCACAAAGUUAAAUCACAAAAAAAAAAAUGUUACAAAAUUCAAAGAUAAUUUUCACCCAAAAUAAAAUUUAUCCUAAUUAACAUCCUAAAAGCAUUACUUUGCACUUUACAACACAAAAUUUAUACAUCAUUCACCACAACAUCAAAAUAUACAAAAAAAAAAAAAAAACAACAAAAUUCUAAGUUUGGAUCCAACAAAUCAAAUAACAAAUCUAAAUCCACAUAUCCACCGGAAACGACGACGCUUCAAUCUUCAUUACAACGUUUCCUCAUCACCGGAAACCACCGCCAAAAGAGAAAACUUCACCCGCAGCGAUAUCUUACUCUUUUCAACCACCAGCCGUCCCCCCGACACCACCCAAUAUCCCGGCAAAUCCUGCGGCCCUCUCGUCAACUCCGUCGUAUCAACAAACUUCAAAAGCUUCUUUCCAUGAGCCGACACCGGUGGUCCACCAGGUAACGCCGAGUUCAUGUUCACCACUCUCGGAUCCGGCGGUGGUCUCUGACCGGUCGAAAACCUACCCGAAAUCAACGUCGAAACGAUCCCGGAUUUCUGAGAUAAAACCGGUGACCCGUCCCACUCCGGUUGCCUCACCACCGUCGCCCCCACCACUUUUGCGAACCGGAGGCGUAAGAAGAGAACUCGUUUUAAACCAGAGUCGCUGACUUCGAACUCGGCGCCAGUGACGAUGGAGAGGUCGUCGUCGGAUUCCACCGGAGCACUGUAAAUAUGUGAGAAGCUUUUCCAUUGGACUUUCUCGUAGUACCUUUUGUCUUUAGGGUUUGUGGAUGAGUUAGGGUUUGGUUCGAUUUCGAGUUUGAAGCUUUUGGGCAUGGAGGAAAGAUGCUGUAAAUGAAUCGCUAAACAGUCGUUUCGUUUUCCUUCUAAGUAAAGACGAAGGCCUGUUACUGGAUUAUCUCCGACAUCCACCUGCGGAUUUUAUCGCCGGAAAAUUUGAAUCAGUAUACUGGAAGCAGAGUUUCAUACGUAGACCGGAUUGGACCGGUUCUCAAUUGGGAAUUCUUUGGACCGUUUUUUUUUUUUUUUUUUUUUUUUUUUUUUUUUUUUUUUUUUUUUNNNNNNNNNNNNNNNNNNNNNNNNNNNNNNNNNNNNNNNNNNNNNNNNNNNNNNNNNNNNNNNNNNNNNNNNNNNNNNNNNNNNNNNNNNNNNNNNNNNNNNNNNNNNNNNNNNNNNNNNNNNNNNNNNNNNNNNNNNNNNNNNNNNNNNNNNNNNNNNNNNNNNNNNNNNNNNNUUUUUUUUUUUUUUUUUUUUUUUUUUUUUUUUUUUUUUUUUUAAAGGUUGUAAAUAGCCUAACCUUUAUGCUUUAGGAGCUUUACAAUCAAAUUGAUGUAUUUUAGGCAUGGUUUAGAAGGAGACAACUUUGUAUGUAAAUAAUUAUUAUAUACAGAUAUUAGAUAUAUAUGGUUUCUAAUGUUAUUACAAUUUUGUAUAUAAUUUAUAAAAGUUAUUUGCUAAAAUUGCCAUAUUUGAAAGUUUGUAUAUCAAGAUAAUUGUUUGUAACAAAAUGACCACAAACAUCACGAAAAAAUAUCGACAAUUUUUUAAAUAUUCCGUCAAAAAACUCGUGAAUUUUAGCCACGAAACUACUUAAGAUUGGAAUUUUUUGAUUAUAUUUGUGAGUUCAAAUGAACUUUUCGCAAGGAUAAAAAGUCUUGAAAUCUACUAAGAAAUGUUUUUCCUAAAAAUCUAAACAAAAUAAGAUGUAACAAAAAUGGUUUAAGUGUGUAUAGUUGGAGCGAUAGGUCUUGGAUUCAAAUCCCCAAGACUUUUUUACAUAUUGAAGUUGAAGUGUAUCUUUUCAUCGUUCAUAGUAAUUUUGUUUAAUUUUUAUGGAUAUUAAAGUAAUUUUUUGUAAGAUUUUAGUAAUUAAUAAAAACAUGCCUGAUUCGUGUUAACAUAGAGCUUCGGACCCAAAAAUCUGAACUGCAAAGCUGCGUUGUGUUGUUUACCCUCGGGACCCACUGCAAGCUCACCAAACUCCGGUGCCCAUCUUGUCGGAAGUUGAAACUCUAAAAACUGCUGAAGCUCUUCAAUUGGUGGCUUAUCUGCAAAACACAUGUAGCCAUUAGAAGACGACAAAAGCACUAAACACAAGCUUUUGUACUGUGUUAGGUAUGCAUUGUCCUGUUGUCACACGACUUAUGUCACUAAAACAAAAAAUUAUAAUUUUUUAUCCCACCCCAAACGGUUUAGAAACGGGGACAUGACUCACUCUUGGUCUCUCGUUUGUUCAAAAGACUAAAAUGCCCUUGUCAUGAUGUCCCUAGCAUAAAGGGUAUUUUAGGCAUUUGACUUUGUGUUUGUCAAGCGUUUAUACAUCAAUUGGUCGGAUCAAAUAAAUGGAAAGAUAUGGAUGUUUUUGCUUACAACGUAUAUAAAGAUUGAUGGCGUGAGUUAAAAAUCCAUUUCCAUCUAUUCCACUUAAUAACGACGUGAUUGGAACAAACGACAUUGAGAUGACUUCGGGUUCGAGUUGAACUGUUUGACACCAUGUGCGAUGGUCGAGGUUUUUUCCAUAGCUUCCCCCUCUUCUCCUCCAAAAAAGAGUUAUAUCCUGCAAAAUCACGACCAAAAGCGACGCAAUGCAGAAUCUCAGUAUAAUCACUAUUUAUUUACCAAGGUUGUGCAAGACUGGAAAAAGCAGUCCACACAAAUUUUUGUCUCAUUAACAUCGGUCCAAGUCCAAUACACGUCAAAUACAGUACAACUAUUUGGUGUAACAAACGGAGUCCAAAGGCAAAUAGCGGAUAUGUUUAUAGAACACGACUAUCGCAAAAUUUAACGAGACAAUACCAAAUUCUAACCUCAAUUGGUGGAUUCAAGUUUAUCAAGCCGUAGUCGUUUCUUUCAAGCUGAAACAUAAAAGAGUAUUAUAUAAGAAUAUGAGAUUAGAGAUUUCACAAACUUUUAUAAUAUAUCUUGUUCUUUUACCAUAGUGAAUGUUAUUAGUAGACCACUUGGAUCAAACUUUUAUUCUUUAUCUCUCCCACUUAAUUUUUUUUACUCUUUUAUCAAUGUAGUUAAGGGUUAUUCAAUGUAAGUUGUCAAAUGAGAUAAAUUUUAGAAACGGAUAGUUUUGCCAUAAACGGGAAGAAAGUGAAAUGUAUUGUGUUAAUAAAAGUAUAGAAAAGAUGCUACAACCAGCUCCGAAUCAUGCGUCUCUCUUGGGUUAUCGUUAUGUUGUCCACUAAAUCUCUUUUCCGCUACGCCUUUUAGCUUAUUUCGCACCUCAUCCAAUGAGAGAGUUGAUGAAUGUUGUUGUUUCAUAUACACAACGUCUUUUCCUCCCAUUUUUACACCCGAAAUUACAUGGGUACCAAACCUUUCGAUAAACCUACAAACAUCAUAAAAAAUCCAAACUAAAAAUCAAGUUUGUGAUGCUUAAAAUAGAUAACAGAAUAUAUCAGGACAUGAUGACAUGACAUAACACUUUUUGACAUGAACAAACACAGGAUAUGAUGACAUGACAUAACACUUUUUGACAUGAACAGACACUGAUGUCAACUAGACAAAAACGAGAUUGUUCUGGCCCAAAGGUGGAAUAAGGUGGGACAUUGAGUCAGUCUCUAACUGUUCUCUAUGUAAAAGACAUAAAUGCCCUUGUGAUCUUGCUAUGGAAAAUAUCCCCAAAAUUGUCAUAAGAGUCAUAACUUUUGCUUACUAGACAAAAAUGUGGAAUAAGGUGGGACACUGAAUCGGCCUCUAACCGUUCUCUAUGUAAAAAAGACGUAAAUGUCCUUGUGAUCUUGCUAUCCAAAAUAUCCCUAAAAUUAUCAUAAGAGUAGCGAUUUUUGCUUACUUGGCCAAUGCUGCAGGUUCCCAUGAGGAAGGAACUGCGUUUUUGACAUGAUCACGUAAAGCAAUUUGGGAUUUUUCAAGCUUGAUAUUGUAAAGUGUAAUGAAGACGCCAUCUAAAGCGAGGGAUUUUGUAUUUGCAGCAUCUUUCUGCCAUGAUCCCGUGAAUUCAAAUGCAGCGUUCAGUUGGCCGGUCGGAAUUCUGCCGGAAAGUGAUACAUCCUGGUUAAAUUGCUCCGACAUCUACAAGAACAAGAAAAACGACACCUUUGAUAUAUCAAAGAUUCGAACCCAUAACAUAAAAUCAUUACACGAAGGAAAAUUAAACUAUUAUCGUACAAAUAAAAAUGAAAAUUUGUGGAUUUACCUUCUGAAAAGAGAGGGUAUCUGAGCUGAAUCGCAUCCUUUCACCUUUAUCACAAUUAAUCGAUUUUGAAACAUUUUGAAUCAAAAUCCCACCUGGAAUCAGUAUAUCUCUCACCUGUUCUUCAUCUAUACCGAUUAAUCUCGAUUCCGGCGACUUCCCUUUGCAGUAUUUCAACCUCAAAUCCUCAGUCAAGUCAUACCCUAACCCAAUUGAUCCGAUCGCCGUCUCCGCCGCUGUCUUCAGCCGUAACGCCACCUCCUUACUACUACUACCCAUCAAAAUUAGUUGUGUAAACCACAAAUAAACCGCAAAAUUAGGUGAAUCCGUGGAAUUUUUCCUUCGAUUAUGGUUUUCUUUCACCUGCUACGGUUUGAAUCGGAAGUAGUCAACUCGUUUUCUUGGUGUUUUGUUGACUGUGAAUUUAAAUAAUGUUCAGGUGGAAGAUGAUGAAAUGUUCGUCAGAUUUUACAUCGUGGAUGUAUUUUAUAUAAUUAAUUGUCGCGUAUAUUGUUGGUACAAUACGCGGAAUCAUUUGGGGUUUGGAGAUAAAGUCAAAAUAGAAAUGCUGUAAUUGGUUUUCAAGAGGAGUGCAAAAGGUCAAAGAAAGUUGGUUGUUCUUGAUGCCGCCCGUCGCCGGCGUAAACACACUUUUUAUUGGUGGUCGGAGAUUCAAUGUUAUUCUUUACUUCCCAUUUUCCAUAAAAAGGUUAAUUAUUGGUUUCUAUAUUCAUUUUGGUUCUUAUAUUUUAAACAAAAUAUUCACCACUUAUAGACUUUGAAAACACAAACACAAUGAUAAAUAUGCGACAAAAUUGCAAAAAUGGUCCCUGUGGUAUGCAUAUUUUUAGGGUUUUAGUUCAAACCAUGACUUUUUGGAUUGAUGGACCUUUUGAGCUAGUUUCAUUGCGUUUUUGGUCCCCCUGAAUAGUGGAAUGACUGUAGUACCCUUAUGUUAUUUAUUUUUCAUUUAUUUUUCAUUUCUUUCAUUUUUUUUAAAAUCUAAAUACUUAUUUAUUUAUGUAACUAAUUAAAAAAAAAAUAAAAAUCUCUCUCUCUCUCUCUCUCUCUCUCCGGGUCAUAUACCCAUUUCUUUCUUUCGUUCCCGAUUUCAACGAACAAGAAGGGGCUGUGCUACCUCCAACAAUCUGGAGAUAGCCACAACACCACCUGCUAGCCUCCAUUCGACCACCAAACUCCACCGUAAACCGCUACAUUUCCGCCCACCAUAGAACCAUUCUAGCCUCACCCCAUCUCUUUUUCUUUUCCGAGGGUUAGGAUGUGAGUUUCUUCUCGUCUGUUAAGCCUUUUGACGAGGUUGUUACCAUCGAUUAAGGGGGCCAGCAGAGUAGUGGGUGAAAUGAUGAGUGUUUGGUGGUUCUACACGAUCAGAGGGAAGCAUAGAAGGGAGGGGCUGUGAAGGUGGUGGUCGGUAGCCUCCUUUCUUCGUCGGUGGAAGAGUGGGUGAGAAAUUAUCAGUUAAAUCUGGGAUUUAUAUGUAUGUUUGUGUUGAAUUUUCUAAUCUUCAUAUGGUUUCUAGAUAUUUAUUUUGUUCAUCUUUGUAUGUAUGUGUAUGAAUCAGUAAGAGAGACACAUGGUAGGGGUUUACCGAUCUGAUAUAUCUAAAGUUUGAAUUAUAGCUUUGAAAUUUUUGGUUCGAGUUCAUGAGAUCUAGAAAUUUUGGAAAUUUUGUUUGAGUUAAUCAGAUCUGGAAAGUUUGGUUUAAGUUCACCAGGAGAAAAAAUCGAUCUCAUGUGUCUAUUCAUUUGAUAUUGUGUAUGUUUGUGUGUUCAUCUGAUAUGAUUUAGGUGGAUACGGAGGUGGUGGAUUGUAGUGGUGGUGGGUUGUAGUUGUGGCAGACGGUGAUCGAACGGUGGUGGCGGCGAAGAUGUUCUUGAGUGUUCUAAAGGAAGAAGAAGAAGAAGGGUAAGAAGAUGGGUCUAGGAUGGAUAACAUGAGAGAGAGAGAUUUAUUUUUUAAUUAGUUAAAUAAAUAAAUAAGUAUUUACAUUUAAAAAAAUGAAAGAAAUGAAAAAUAAAUAACAUAAGGGUGUUAUAGUCAUUCCACUAUUUAGGGGGACCAAAAACGCAAUGAAACUAGCUCAAAAGGACCAUCAAUCCAAAAAAGUCGUGGUUUGGACUAAAACCCCAAAAAUAUGCAUACCAUAGGGACCAUUUUUGCAAUUUUGUCUAAAUAUGCAAAUGAGAAUAAAGAAUUCAAAGGUUAGAUUUUGAUUAAACUAAUCAAACUAUAUUUCCCCAACAAACUAUAGAGAUAUUUGAAUUAUACUUUUGAAUGCAUACUUUUUGUAUUAGGGUUACAAAUUAAUGUCUUAAGUCAUGCCUUACAAAUGAUGUGACUCGUCAAGACUCGUAAAAAUUUGAAGUGGCUCGCCACGGCUCGUAAAAGCUUGAGGCUUGACUUAGCUGUCAAGUGACGUCUAACGUUAUUUAGAACCUUGGUUACAAUUAUAAUGAGAGGUCAAUUGAUAAUAGACUUUUGACCUAAUUUCUUCUCGACUAGGCUCAUGAUAUAACAUACAUCAGUUGACCUAUGAUGACAUGACCUAUGAUGACAGACGUGGUCCUAAAGUUACUAGGUCAGCAUUGAAGUUUAAAGUCUAGGACUACUUCUGAAGGCUAAGCGUGAUGUAUACCAAAAGCGAAGCUCGGAUGUACAAUGAAGGCGAAGAUGAUAAGCUCGUUCUUCACAACUACGCUUUGGUGUUUAACUUUGCUGCCAAGUCUUUUAGACUUUGCUUUUUAACUUAAUUUGAAGCUCUAGUUCUUGGAUCUUGAAUUCGUCCAUGGUUUGCAGCUUCGCUCAUAAACAAAAUUCAACAACUUCGCUAAUUGGCUUCGCCCCAAGGAUUCCGGUCAAAACUUUGCACCAUCAACUUUGCUAAGCCUUUGAUUUUGAAAUACAAUUGCUCCAAUAAAUUUCUUCAUGGGGUGCUGCCCCCACCCCCAUAAUUGACCCCUACAAGGAAUAGGACCCCACGCUUGGUCUCCGUAUUGACAAUGAAGUCGAAAGAAGAAUUAAAUUCCACAACUCAACAAUAACUAUAUCAAGAUUAAAAAUGAAAAGACUACACCCACAUUUUUGGAAAUUUUUGCAAAUAACUAUUAUUUUCGGAAAUACUCAAUUUUCGAACUUAACAAUUAGUUUUUUCUGAAAAAUGAUUCAACAAUUUUGAGGUUAACAAUAUACAAUUUGUACAUAGCACAAAUAUAUAGACACUGACUAAUAUUUUAUUUUCUCCGAAAGGGUGUGUAUUUGUACGAAAAAAAUGUUUUUUUUUCUGUCAACCCAAGCUUGUUUUUUGAGAAUAUAUUUCUGAAUACCAUGGAUAAUAGAAGUUUAAAGAUUAGCUUGCCAGAUGAAUUUGGUUAUAAUUUUUUUCUUGAUCAAUUCAUUAGUCUUGAACUUCUUGAAGAAGAUCGUCCUUUCUUUGAUUGCAGUGUAGACAUCCUCACAAAGCUUUUCGACAUCUGUCUCUCAAGCUUUCACAACAAUCUUGAUCUUGCACAAUAAUCUUCAUCUCUUCAGACAUCCUCUAGUACCUUUGGAAUAGGUUGGGGAAUGAGCUUGAACCUCACCCCCUAUAUUUAUGUAGGAUUUUUUAGUGGACAUAUUUUUGAGUAAGUUAAGAUUUGGUGUUGGAAAUGUAAGCUUUAACAAAUUUAUAUUACGAUGGGAAAUAGUGAUAGGUCUAUGUUAUAUGGAGAGUUAGGUUAGAUAUAUAAACUUAGUUAAAAUUAUUUUGUCUUACGUUAGACCAUUUAACCCCUCCUAACUAUUUCAUUUUACUUAUUGAUUAUGUAAUGUUUACUUUUUUAUAUCUAAGUACCUUCAUACAUCAACAAACAUACAACAAAUCAUACCAUAAGUUCAAUAUUGCAACCAGGGAAGUCCAUUCAAAUCAAAGAUUUAACUAUAAAGCAUAAAACCACACUAAAUUGAACAAAGCCCUAGUUUUCAAAGAUAUGUAUAACGUACUUCAUAAUUCCAUGAAAUUAAUACAAUGGAGUAAAAAGUAGUGGAGGAAUCAUACAAAAGUGAAGAUUAAAUAAGAAAAACAAAGAUAUUCGAAGUUGGGAUGAUGAGCUACUAAUGACGUCGAUGUGAUGUGAGAAGUUGUAAAAAGUCAAAAAAGGUUAAAGAAGAUAAAAUCCUAUUAAGCUCAAAUACACGUUGUGUAUAGUCACCAGGUUCGUCGUGUUUGUGACAAAGGGUUCUUCAGCUUGAGAUCUAUCGUUGUAUGUAUCAUGUUUUUCUUCAAGGCAUGUCGUGUAAUGUCUACAAUUCUUAAAACUCAAAAACUUCACCAAUUUUUAUAACAAUAAAUCCCACAUCAAUGACAACCCAAAUACAUCAUAUAACUAUGACCAUCUUUUGAAGGGUGAAAUGCAAUCAAAAUAACUCAAAAACCCAUAAAACAAGAAGUACAGAGGAAUCAUACAUGGAGUGCAAAUUAAACAAGAAAAUGAAUGUAACAUCCCAAAAUUUCAAUAUAAAAAUUUUGUUUUUAAUUCAACCAUAAAACACCAUUUAGUAAUACCAAUCAUUCAAAAGUAUAUUAAUGUAAAAGCAAUUAUCAGAGUACAAUCCAAAAAAUCAUCACAUUGCGGAAACUUGGGUGGAUGCAGUGUAGUCACUGUGACAUCCCCAAUUUCACAGCCAGAAAAGACCGAUUUGUUUAUGCUUUAUUUGAAAACCAGAGUACCUUUUUGAGAAAAUGUUGCGGAAUUUGUUCCCAAAAAUAUGAUAAAGAAUUUAUCAAAGCAUUUCCGAAGAAAUGUAUUUUCCUUAUAUUAAAAACCUCUGGAUGUCAUUGUCAAUACAAAUCAAAAGCAUAAACAGAAACAAAAUAUGACUUACAACAUUCUAUUUAUUUCUACUGGCCUAUAAUCCACAAUCUCUCAUCAGAUCAUCACAUCUAUGCUCUUGUGUUACUACCUGUAAUACAAGAAACUGAGUGGGUCAGACUUGAGAGCCUGGUGAGCACAUAGGGUUUUUAACCUAUAAUAAUUACGUUUAUUAACUUCAUCAAAUCAUUCAACCCGAUUACUCAUUCCCGUUAUCCUCACUUUCUGUCCCUAAAGCAUCUAAUUCAAGGGACCUAGCCUAAGGAUCAUCAUCGGGAAGACAAUACUGCUUAGGGGAUUCCUCAACAAUAUAUGUAUGUAAGGCAACCAUGAGGGGGAUGGAGUACACAGGUGAACACAUCGUUCACAAACACCUACAGGUUGCGAGCCUAACAACGUUCCACUAGACUGUCUAGAAUAGUCCGUGGUUGUCAUCUAUACUCCGAUAGAUGACUAAGUCAGCUUAAACAUCGAUGUCUCUCGUCAUUUUAUUUCAUUGCUCAUCAUCUAUUUCAUCUACCCAUCUUUCCCCACAUAUUCAUAGAUAUAAAAUGUAUAUACAAUUUAAAUCAAAUAAAACAUGUAUAUUUUGUUCAUCCAACGUAGAUAUCAAGAACACAUAUAAUAUGCACACAUAGCACGUAAUUUAUAUUAAAUACUUCAUAUCUAUGUGUAAGUUGAAAGUAACUAUGCACACACUUGUUAAAGUGAUGAUUCCAAACUCGGGCAACGCUUCGCUUCUAACAAUUCUAUUUUUUCUUCGAUGAAACCUAGUAUUAUUACCACUAGAUUUUAGUCUAAUAUUUAUUGCGACUGUUUUUGAGCGAUAUUGUUUUAUAAGUGUUAAACAAUAUUUUUCAACUACUAUGUAUAGACAGGGGCCAUACAUGAAACACCGGAGGGAAGGACCAUUUUGGCAUUAUAGCUGUUCUGAAAUCCAACAAACCUAUGCUGCCCUUCAAAUCAGAUUCCCCAUAUCGCGAGUAGUUAAAAGAUAUUAUACUAACACUUUAUAUAUUUUAUAAUAUUACAUAUAUUGUUUAUAGGUUCAUAAUAAAGAUAACAAACUCAAACAUAGGCUAUACUUAAAGUAGGGUAAGCAUAACUUACUUAUGGGGGUUUGGCUAGGAACCAGGCUCUAUCGGGGGAAAAACUUCUGAGCCUAAAGCUCUUCUUCUUGGAGCCUUCUGGCGCUCCAGGACUCGCGUCUAGCACUUAGGAAGUACUAGGGAAGGGGAGAGAGAGUUUGGGAGUAUGGAGAGAGAAAGAAUGGGAAAGGUGUGAAGAAAUAGGGUGAAUUACGCUUCUAUUUAUAGGUUGAAAAUGGCCAAAAUAGCGUGUUCUAAGCCCCAACACGUCGUGUUGAGGUGUCAAGUGUCACCAUCUGGUGGCAAGACAUAGGGAAGAUGCAGAUCGCGCCAUGUGUCACUCGCAGAUUACCCCAAAAACUAAUUAUCUUCUAAAAUCCGUAACUUUUGCAUACGAGCUCUGUUUUUGAAGUUAUUUAUAUACAUGUGUAGGUAUUGACAAGAUCUACAACUCUCAUUUUGACUCCAUCGGCUAAUUCUUGACCAAUUUUAGUUUUAAUAGUAUGAGAAAUUACGUUGUUAUGUAAAAUUCAUAACUUCUACAUACGAACUUCGUUUUCGACUGUAUUUUUAUCGUUGAACUCCUAUUAAUGAGAUCUUCAAUUCUCAUUUAGGUUGUGUCCGCAAAAAAUUGAUUGAUCUAAAAUUCGAUUUCCGGGCUGUACACUGUUAUGUUAAAUCUUAGAAAAAUCAUAACUUCUUCAUACGAAGUCAGAUUUAGAUGUCAUUUUUAUGUCCCCUCUCGGUUUAAUGUAUAAUACGAUUUCGUUUAGAUUACUAAGGGUAAAAAUUAUUUUAUCGCAAACUCACUUUCUACGAUACACAGUGUCAUGCCGGUUUAGUCGUAAAACUUCGACGGGUCAUAACUUCUUUGUUAUAAGUCGGAUUUCAAUGUUCCUUAUAUCCCCGAAAUCCUUGUUGUGAAUACUUCAACUUUCUUCAUAGAUAUUGGGUCUAUCUAUUAUUUUAUUUUUGGCGCAUAUUUUUAUUAUUAAUUUAUUACAUCGUUAUAAGUACGUAUUUUGCAAAAAAAAAUCACAUAAUACUCAAAUAAUUCUUCUUCAUUACUUCAAAAUAGGUUACAAUUAUAACAUCUAUAAAAUUCAUAAAAAUUUAAAACUUUUUCAAGCAUCCAAAAACCAUUAUUUAUUACAAAAUGUUUUCAAAAUAGUUUUAGAGAAUCCCAGAAUUUAAAGUCAUAAAAUGUGAGUAGGUGCACGAUCAAGUCUUCGCCUUCCUGCUAUCAUCCAAAGUACCUGAAAUAUAAUCCAAAACUGUAAGCCCAAAGCUUAGUGAGUUUCUCAAAAAUACCAACACUAUACAACCAGAACAAUAUCAUAACAAACAACAUGCAUAUAAAGUCUACAGUAUUACUGGAUCACCCUCAUCGGGCCUUCAGUCUGUCUGGCCCACUCUCAGAACCUUCAGCAUGUCUGGUCCGCCUUACCGGGCCUUCAGCUUGUCUGGACCGUUCUCCGGGCCUUCAGCCUGAUUGGUACGCCCCAUUGGGCCUUCAGUCUAUCCGGGUCGCCCUGGUUAUGUUGGCCUAGGGCAUAAAGCAGGACCGCAUCAACCCAUCCCCAAACAUACAAUCAACACAUAAAUAUCAAACGCUAGCUAGCAUGUACAAACAAUCAGACAGAUCUAACAUAUCACUAAUCAUAGCAUCAUCCUAUAUACCAGGAUACCAACCUAACGGGUCACUAACAUAACAUCAUCCUAUAUACCAGGAUACAGAUCUAACAGAUCACCAAGCAUAUCAUCAUGCGAUAACCAGGAUAACUUUCCAAAAAGGGUCGGCAUUGGUGCCUUCGACCCUGUUAGUAUAAUGAGGAAAACUCACCUGACAAGUAGUGCUGUAGUGACAAUAUCCAACUCCAAAUCAUAGCUCCGAACUCAACCGCCUGUAACCACCAUAUGACUAAUUCUAUCAAAAUCCCAAAUUACCAAAAUACCCUCAGUAGUCAAACUUGGUCAGCCGUUGGUCAAAGUCAAAGUCAAACUCAACGGUCAAGGUCAACAGUCCAUGUUGACCUAACUCGUCUAGUGCAGCUUACUGACUCGUCGAGUUCCUCCAGAACUCAGAAACUGUGAAAACUCGAGUCAACUCGCCGAGUUGCCAAGCAACUCGUCUAGUCCAUGUAGUAUUUAGAAGAUUGGGAAAACCUUAACCAACUCCUUGAGUUAUCUCACUAACCCGCCGAGUUCACUUAGAAUCCAGAAAGCGGGAAAACCCUUAUCCAACUCGUCGAGUUGGCUAAGCAACUCGUCAAGUUCCUUUAGCCCUUUUCUUAUUCAGACGCUUUUAAGUGAAAUCAAGGCUCCAUAUUGUAGAUCUAGCCCCCUAGGGUGUAGUUACCACGUAAAGCUGCUAACUUUACGUGCAUGUAAGGCAUCAAGAGGCUAAAACACCCAAAACUAAGCUUAGGAAGAGGUUUAGGGCAUGGAGAAGGGCCAAGAGUAGAUAAAUUCGACCACUUUAUAUCGAUGGGGCCUAGAGGAGUCUAAAUAUGAGACCAUGUCCUCAUGACAAGCUCAAAACCGAGAGUGACUCCAUUUUGCACUAGAAAUAACCAUAUUCCUGCAUAAGGGAAGAUAUAAGAAAUAAGAGGUCAAGGUAAAGACUUUUUACCUCAAAUUGGAUGCCAAAACCAAGUAGAUGUUGAAUCUACUACUUCUCCAUUUACUAUAACCUCUUCAAACUUCAAAACCCUUCCAAAAGAGCACAAAAAUGACAUUCUAAGCUCACACACACAAGGAAGUAGUAAAGCACGACUAGGAUUUCCUUCUCUGGGAAAUGAGGUGAUAAGGGAGGCUAAAGAAUGUAGGUAAUAGGGUGUAAACCCUAAAAAUUAGGGUUUUCCCAUUCAGCUCCAACUCAUCGAGUAGGUUCCAAAAUCCAUGCGGCUUUAUUAGUUUCUACACGAUGAGUUGGGGCCUCAACCUCGUUGAGUAGGUCUUAUGUAAUGAGCAAAAUCCAUAAAAUUUCAUACCUGGGAUUCGGGAUGUUACAACAAUUAUUGACCCUAACUAUUACAUCGUUAUAAUAAUGCUUAGCCUAGAAACGCAGGCGUCACAGUCAUAUUGGGCCCUUCCCUUUCGAAUUGGAAGUACCUGAAACAUAAACUGAAAACCGUAAGUACAAAGCUUAGUGAUUUCCCCAAAAUACCACAUACCAUACAUACAUUUGCCAUGGGCUUCCCCCAUGGUCUUUUCCCUGAAAUUCCAUGGGCUACCCCCAUGGUCUUGUUGGAUUAGUGUCUAAGUCCAUAACUAUAUUUGGUAUGUACUUGACCCGAUUGGCAUGGUACAUUUGGGUUGCAUGGCAUCAUGCAUUCGGAUAGAAUAAAAUGAGAGAAAUAACACUUAAGGUUUAUUAAUAUAUUAUAAGUUCUAAUAUAUUAAUAAGAUUAUUUAAUUACUAUUGAUCAAGAAUUAAUUUAGAAUUAAUUAAGUGAUCAAAAGGAGACUAAUUAAAUAUAUGGGUUGAUUGUUUAAAUCAUCCAUACUUGUAUAGUGGGCUAAUGCUCCAUGGAUUAUCAAGUUGGGAUAAAAACCAUAGGAUGCUCCAUGGUGUUUUUGUACCCAUGGAUCAUGGAAAUGAAAGGCCACGACAAUUAGGGUUUACAUGGUGUAACCCUAAUUGUGACACACUCUGUAAGCAUCUUAUUCUUCCCAAAAAUCGGUCACUAUGAAGGAAUGGUGAGUGCUAGCCGAUUUCAUGAAGUGUCUCAUUUCUCUCAAGUUAUUCUAAGUGUAUUUGGUGUUGUGUGAACCAUUUGAGGUGUCACACUUGGGGCACUAGGCUCUUAAGCUCCAUGGAAUCAAGCUACAUCAAAAGCUAUGUCUUCUAACUUAUAUUAUUCCAUAUGAAUCAAUGUUUUGUAUGCUAGUUAGGAUAAUACCUUGGAAUAUUUAUAUUUGCAUGUAUAAUAGAGAAAAAAUAGAUCCAAGGUAUUUAGGGUUGCAUGUACACUUAGGAGUGUUAGAAUGCUCAAAACCCAAUAGUGGUGUCAGAGCCUGGUUGUUUUCUAGUUAUACUUGCAAAAUUGGAUGAAAAAUCAAAGUUUGUUGCUGUCUGCUCAGCAGACUCGCCGAGUCCAUGAAGGGACACGAAGAGUCCAUGGCUAAAAUCAUCCAAAUUGCCGAUUUGGUUCAUGCACUCGACGAGUUGGACCCCCAGAGAGCAUAUCUUCGACUGUUUUGGCUGGAAUUGGACUAGGAACAUUACCCUAAGCUGUCUUUCAACUUAUAAACCUGUUUUUGAUGUGGUAAUGUUCAUGCUAAUCCAAUUUCAAAGAUAAUUGUCAAUAGAUUCAUGUUUUGUGUUAGUUUAAAGGUUAGGCUAAUUACAUGAAAAAUUUUGAUUGAAUUAUCUUGUUCUUAUGAGUUGCUUAGAUUAAUAGAAAAGUUAUUUGAAAUUGUUGUUUUCAAUCCAAGUUAAUCUAAGAGUUGGUUCUAAAAUGUGUUUUUGUAACUUGUCCUCAAGUUAUAUGAAAAGUCACAUUUAAGAUUCAUAAAACUCAUAAAUAUUUCCAUAGGUUAUGAAUAAAGAAAAGUCAUAUUCUUUUAAUAGUUUAAAGUCUUCCAUAACUUGUCCUCAAGUUAUGGAACUUGAAGAGUUUUUUGAAUUAAAACUACUUUAAACACAUAAGUUAUGGAAUUGAAUAGUUUUGAAUAGUUUCAAAACUUGCCCUCAAGUUUUGGAAUUUGUAAAGUUUUCCCUUAUGAAUACUUUAAUUCCAAGUUAAGACCUUAGAAUUUUAAAAGUUAAAAUUCAACCCUUAUACUUUAUCGUAUUAUAAGUUAAUAAUAUAUACAUAUAUAUAUAUAUAUAUAUGUGUGUGUGUGUGUGUGUGUGUGUGUGUAUAAGAGANNNNNNNNNNNNNNNNNNNNNNNNNNNNNNNNNNNNNNNNNNNNNNNNNNNNNNNNNNNNNNNNNNNNNNNNNNNNNNNNNNNNNNNNNNNNNNNNNNNNNNNNNNNNNNNNNNNNNNNNNNNNNNNNNNNNNNNNNNNNNNNNNNNNNNNNNNNNNNNNNNNNNNNNNNNNNNNNNNNNNNNNNNNNNNNNNNNNNNNNNNNNNNNNNNNNNNNNNNNNNNNNNNNNNNNNNNNNNNNNNNNNNNNNNNNNNNNNNNNNNNNNNNNUCCACUCUCACCCACCGCUUCUUUGACUGGUGGAGGGUCGUUAGCCGAACGGGUAGGACAAGGACUAUAAUUCUCCCUUCAUUAAAAGUAUUAAUGAUAAAUACUAAGUAACUAAACUUUUAUAAAUUCCCAAUCUUAGUUACUUAGGAAAAUGUGAAUUUGGUGCUAACCCAUGAAAUUACACUUUGCACUUUGCUUAAGUCGUUAGUGGAGCGCGUGUGGGUAACCGGCACACUAACCUGGAUUUAGCAAGGUAGGCAAAGGGUAACUUAAUGUUUAUCAUAGUAUCGGUGGAGCGCGUGUGGUUAACCGACACAUCGAUUGAGGGGUAAAUAUUAAGGGUACCAAGUAUAUUUGCAUGGUUAUUCACACCUUGUUUAGUGAUCCUCGGCAUCCCAGUCACAAAAUUUGAGAGGGCACAAUUGAGAUUGAAACAUGCCAUUGAAGAGUUCAAUGAAUCUCAAAAGAUCUAGGAGUUUCAAAUCAGAGUAAAACCUAAUUAAAUUAUUUUGUUUUCAUGGCGGAAACUGGUGAAUCAUCAUUCGCCUACCUUCAAAUAUUUUAUAGCUUGGAUUACUGCAUCCCUCUUCCAAGUUAUAAAAGUAUUGUGUUGGGUCCUAGCCUUAAUAUUUCAUAUUGGGUGUUAUAUUAAGUACUUUAGAUCAACUAUCUUGAAUACCUCCUAAAAGAUGUCCAGUUCAGACAUCUAUGAUCUUCCCAAAUCUCUUGGAACUUCACUUCAUCCACCUCCUCCAAUUAUUCUCCCUAACCCACAAGUUCAAGGUCACUCAAGCCCUAUUGGCAAGCAAAGUCUAUGUGUGAUCGCAUCUUGGAGAUGAAGUCACAUAUUGACAAGCCGGGAGAGUUGGGUGUCAAAGUCAUAAGAAAGUUGGAUGUUCAAUCACUUUCUAAGUCACAUAGUGAGUUCCUUUGGGACUACUAUGAAACAGACUAUGACAUGACCCUUAAUGAUCUUAUCUAUUUGCUUGGUGCUGCUGAAUCAGCAAUGAUUUGAGGACUAGUAAAGCAAAUUUGAUUAGGAGAUCAAAUUCCCAAUGGACAUUGACAACGAUAACACCUACCUUAUGUUUAGACGUAUUGGUUUCUUGGAUAUCUAGAAAAGUCUUUCUCUUCCCAAUGGAAAGGGAUCGGCCACAGUCAACUCGGUUGACCAAAUGGUAAAGAGAAAGGCUAAGUCUGAGGUAGUCCCAUGUACAAUUCCCAAAGAGUCCAUAUGUUUCUCUUGCCAAAGGAAGGGGCAUUGAUUGCGAAGCUGCCUAUUUACCUGAAAGAUCAUAAGGUUGAUCAAGUCAAGAAGUUUGACUCUACUUCAGGUAAAGUCAACUAUCUAACUCUGUGAAGUUUCUAUUCUGAGAUUCUUAUUACAUGAUUUGACUGGGUCACAUGUUGAUGUUUUAAGAAUCAACGAAAAGUGAAGAAACUUAAAGGAAGUAUAUGCUGAUUCUGAUUGCGAAGAUGGAUUUCGAUCGCAUGGUUCGGUGAUCAGAAUUUUGAGCUGUUGCUUAGGAGUUAUGAUAUAUUUCUUAGGAAUAGAUAACAACAAGCUUUUCAUAUGCUUUUGCGCUGUAAGGAUAAGUUUUUCUGCAAAGUUUUAAAAUAAAAGGAAAAUUUUUGAUUUUAUUUAUUCUAAGUAUCCUUACAAUGACAUUUGUGAAAAAUUGUUUCUUAUAUGAUUCCAUUGAUAGCAAUGUUGGAAAAUGGAUUUGUUUCUUUCAAUUGUGGUAAUGUCUAAUUUACCAAAUAAGGAAAGAUUCUCAUAACCCAAGUUUUAAUUGGACCGAAACUUGGAAUCAUGCAAGUUGUAUAGUAUGAUGAAUGAGAAUUUUCACCUUUGGAAAAUUAAGACUAAUUCCUUGUUCACAUGUAUAUGUGAGUCAAGUAAAGGACUAAGGGAUCGAGUACACAUUCUUGUGCACUGAUCAAGUCCACCACAAAGAUCGUUAAGACUAUUCGUCAUGAUUUACUAAAGUUUAGUACAUAUGGUUUUACUUACCAGAUUAAGUAUAAUACUGAAACAUUGGAAAAGUUUUGAUGUAUGGCAGAACAAAUGAGAAGAAUCAAAUUAGGAAGAAAGAUAAAAGUUUCUCAAAAAUGAAAAGAUGGGAGAGUACUUUAGUAUCAUGUUUUGUGAUCAUCUUAAUGAUUAAGAAACCAUAUCACAAUUGGUUCUCUAAGGAAAUCUUAGUGCAUUCUUAUGACUAAGAAGAGGAACUUGAAUUGUUGAAAUGGUUAAAUCAAGAAGAUGAGUCAUACUUCGUUCCAAUACAAGUCUUAGAGUCAUACUCCAAGAUUGUAACUUGAGUGACAUGUCUUNAACACUUGUCAAAUGUAAGAGCAAAAUGUUUUCUACUCUUGUAAAUUUGAAAUUGGUAAGUUGUGAUGUUUUGGAUAAAACAAAGACCAACUAAGGCCAAUUGUGUGAAGUGUUUGUCUUGAUAAAGAAUCCACACUAUCUCUUGAAUAUUUGGCAAGAUAGUCAUAUAUGUCAAGAGGACAGUGGGAGUCUUAAAGAUCUUGAAAGAAUUUCAAGAUCUAAUCAAGAAUAAAAACUUAUAGUUUGACACUAGCAAACGACGUGAGGUUUAUAACCUAUCGUGUUGAUAUAUUUCUAUUUUUGUGCCCAUUCCAGUUAAAUUUUGGCUUUGUAUAUGAGUUCCGAGAGUUCUCAAUUGGUUGUAUAACAACUUGGAAGAAAUGGCAGGUCCUUGUGCUGCCAGGUGGCAAUAAAUUAAGAUUGAGUUCAGUCCAUAUGAGUUUGGAUUUGUCAUUAUCAUGUCUUGUGAUUAUGGUGGAUAAGAACACAUACACCAUAAAAUCUAAGUGUCAUAACGUUUCUCUCCGAUUCAUGAAAAUGAUGGUGAGGAAACACUUUCACUAAGUAGAUUUUAAGUAGAUAAACAUUGUGAUAUUUGCAUUCUCAAAGUCGUUAGUGGAGCGUGUGUGGUUAACCGGCACACUAACAUGGACUUGUGAGAAAUGGAAAAGUUCUAAACAAUUGAGACUAUGAUUACGACAUCCCUUUUCAUAGUUCUAAAAGUUGUUUAGACACACAUGUGAGCUAUCUAAGGAAAGGUGUGUGAUUUUGAUAAAGUCUUAUCAAAACAUCUCAUAUCAGAAAUCUGAACUUUGGUAAGAAAGUCAAUAAAGUAUUGAUUUCUAGAGUUCAGCUGAUUUCUGAGUACAUGUCAAAGCUAGUGGGAGCAUAAGUGUUAUGCUAAUAAUCAUCAUGUUAGUGGGAGCAUGAUAAUUAUUAUUAGUAUUGCAAGAUAGCAAUGUUAAUUAUAGAAAACAAAAGUUUCAAUUCGUGAAGUUGUAGGGGUUGAAAAGUUUUUUGCUAUAAGUAAGGGAGAUGAAAUUAUACUUCAUUUCAAUUCUAAAAGCUUAGAUUGAGCUUUUAAUCAUCUUUAGUCAAGGAUAUAUAUGAAUUUUGUGUUGGAAUGGCUCAACAUAAGGAAAUUCUAUAUAUGGGUCCAUUAUUUGCGUUCUAAAAUUCGAUUAUGAUUACGACAUCCCUUUUCAUAAUUUGAAUUAUGAGAACUUGGCAAAUAGAAAUAUUGUAGCAAAAGGACCGGUCUAGUAUCAUGUCUUUAUGUGAGACAUCAUGAAUCUUGUCCCAUAUGCUUCGGAUAUAGGAUCGAUUACAUGUGCUAUAAUAUUCAUCAUUUCUAAAAUUUUCCAAAUGCAUGGGGCAUUAAGAAGGGAAAAGGUCUAGAAUUGGAUAUGACUAAAAUGAUUAAGCAAUUGUCGAGGACAAUCUAAGGUUUACCAAAGAUUGGUCGCUUAGGGACAGUUGGAAGUAUAAUGUUAACUUUGGAAGGACCAUAUUGACAUUUUCUGAAAAGAGGCAACUCUUGUUCAGAAGUGAUAGUCAAAAUGGGAAUAUGGAAAUGUUUCCAUAGGUGGAAGUUAUUCAAUUUGUGUAAUAUUAGAAAAACUUAAUACAAGAAGGAUGAUUCCAUGGAGUUGAUCUCCAUUGGAAUACUCUGUAAUGUCUGUUGACAAGUCAUUGCGACUUUGUGCAUAAUCAUUACAAGAGGAUCAAUGCAUAUAAGUUUAAAAUCUAACAAUAUUUCGGUAAAUGGCAUGAAUAUAGAAUUCUUGCAUUUGCGGUAAGGAUUUGGGACUGUGAAAUGAGAAUCAUUAGAAUUAUGUUCAAUCGAUCUAUUUCAAAAAGUAAAGAUCAUAGACAAACUUAGUAUGCAUACUUGGUGUAUGACAUAACUAAUGUUUAGACAAAUAUAGUGUGCAUACUUGGUGUAUGGCAUGACUGGUGUUUAGAAAAUAUAGUGUACAUGCUUGGAGCAUGGGACAACUAUUAUUUUAAUUCAAGUAUAAAGUUGAUAGUUUGAAACAGUAUGCAAUGAAUAAUGUGUAAUCAAUAUGGUGAUAAAUAAAAGGUGUUUUAUUUAUAUUCAUAAGUCUUGAGACCAUAUUGGAUUUGAUUAUUCUUGUGUUUCACUUUGCAUAUUUUGACUUCCAGAAUAACUAGGCCGUUCUUCCUGAAUGACUAAGUUAUUCAAACUAUCCACAAUCGGUCAUUUGUUGGAAGUAGAUAUGAAUCAAGACUGUCAUGAAACUAGAUUGUAGAUGUCCAAGGUAUGGGACAUAGCAAGUGGUGCUACAACAUUCAUGAGUACUCAUAAGUUCUGAGUAUUUGAUUCAACCCAUGCUCAUUGGAAUCACUUUAUGGAUUUUAUCAUGAGUGAUCAUGAGACGAGAAUUUCUUAUAUUCUUGAAACCAAGAGAUACGACUUGUUGCCUAUGAGUUGGUUAUACAUUGAUUGCACGAAAACACAUUUGGUAACUCGGUGUUAUAAAAUGUGCCUUUGUGUAUGAUUCAAUAAGUAGUAGAAUAAGCAUAUGAGUCGAUGUUUAUCCAUUCCUUUUACCCUUAAAGGUAUAAAAGUGAUAUCUGUGGGCCCCUCGAUGAUUUAGUGAUGACACCCCGAAGUGCUUGGCCAAUCCAAGACUGAUUUGAUUUGUUCAAUUAGUCGGUCGUCAUAAACCAGAAAUCGGGAAACAACAAAUGGACAGAGAGAAUGAUUUUAAUCCACGUCUCAAUCCAUAUGAUAUCUAGAAUGGAGGAAUAUAUGAUCCCUUAUCUGAUGGACGCGUCAUUGAUAUGUUCAGAGUUCGACAUCAGCAACUCUUAAGAGCUAUGAUUGCUAGUCGGGUUUUGAAGUCAUACACAAUAAUACUUUUAGACUUAUCCAAGUGGGAGACUGUUGGAGUAGUGUCUAAGUCCAUAACUAUAUUUGGUAUGUACUUGACCCGAUUGGCAUGGUCCAUUUGGGUUGCAUGGCAUCAUGCAUUUGGAUAGACUAAAAUGAGAGAAGUAACACUUAAGGUUUAUUAAUAUAUUAUAAGUUCUAAUAUAUUAAUAAGAUUAUUUAAUUACUAUUGAUCAAGAAUUAAUUUGGAAUUAAUUAAGUGAUCAAAAGGAGACUAAUUAAAUAUAUGGGUUGAUUGUGUAAAUCAUCCAUACUUGUAUAGUGGGCUAAUGCUCCAUGGAUGCUCCAUGGUGUUUUUGUACCCAUGUAUCAUGGAAAUGAAAGGCCAUGACAAUUAGGGUUUACAUGGUGCAACCCUAAUUGUGAAACACUAUAUAAGCAUCUUAUUCUUCCCAAAAAUCGGUCACUAUGAAGGAAUGGUGAGGGCUAGUCGAUUUCAUGAAGUGUCUCAUUUCUCUCUAGUUAUUCUAAGUGUAUUUGGUGUUGUGUGAACCAUUUGAGGUGUCACACUUGGGGCACUAGGCUUUUAAGCUCCAUGGAAUCAAGCUACAUCAAAAGGUAUGUCUUCUAACUUAUAUUAUUGCAUAUGAAUCAAUGUUUUGUAUGCUAGUUAGGAUAAUACCUUGGAAUAUUUAUAUUUGCAUGUAUAAUAGAGAAAACAUAGAUCCAAGGUAUUUAGGGUUGCAUGUACACUUAGGAGUGUUAGAAUGCUCAAAACCCAACAGGUCUGACAUCCAAGUGUCAUGGGCUACCCCCAUGGUCUUUCCUUGAAAUGUCAUGGGAUGCCCCCAUGGUUAACAUCCAAGUGACAUGGGCUACCCCUGUGGUUUUUCCUUGAAAUGCCAUGGGCUACCCCAUGGUCUAACAUCCAAGUGCCAUGGGCUAUCCCCAUGGUCUUUCAUUGAAAUGUCAUGGGUUACCCCCAUGGUCUUUCAUACAAAUGCCAUGGGCUACCCCGGGGGUCUUCCUUGCAAGUAUCACAAAGAAAACUAGCACCCUACAUAGUAUAGUGAGAAGACUCACCUCUACUGAUGAUAAUUGAAACAACACUGGAUAUGUGGCGAACACUGCUCCUUACGCUAAACAAAAACCAGAAAUAAACCCAAUCACUAAUUAGGGUUUAACCUAAACCCCUGGUCUAGUCCAUUCCUCAUCAUGGUGAGGGAAAAACACCAUUUUCCCCUUUAUAUACAAGCCCAACUAAACUAAGCCCAAAAGCCCCAAUGGCCCGAGGCCCAAAAUCGAUCCAUUAGGCUUUUACUGAGAACGCCUAGCGUUCCACCCUAUGACGCCUAGAGUCCAAACGUUGGGCGUUCCCAUGAAAACACCAAGCAUUUGCUAGCUGAUUACCAACUUCCAAAACAAUGUCUUAAUGGCUUAAGAUCUCAUGUCCAAACUUCACAUCUAAUCAUAAUGGAACGUCUAAAGCCAUAAAGUUGCAAACUUUAUGGCCAUGCAUGGCUACAAUAAGCCCAACACCAAGAUCCUAACUCAAAAUCACUAUAAGGCUCCAAAACUCUUGCAUGGAAGAUUAUGAAGACCUAAUAUUACAUUUUUAUGAUUCUAGACUCAAUAUUAUGCUUGAAAGGACAGUCCAAACCUCUGGAGCAUUCCAAACUCAUAAAGAUCAAUUCUUUGGGACCAAAAAGAAGAUAAACUAGGCCUAAUUCAAGAUCUAACGAAUGAGACAUCAAGAUCUGAACUUUAUACCUCAAAAUGAUGCUCCAAGAUGUCAAGAGUCCAUAUCCACAAGCUAGGGAGCAACCAUAAUACUCCAAAGAUCUUCCUUCUCUUAUCAAGAAUACUAAAUGAUACCAAAAAGAUGAACCAAGGCUUCAAACUCUCAUACACACUUAGGGUUUUCGAAAUGAGGAUAGAGGCUGGAGUGGUGAAGGGUUUUGAGGCCAUAAUGUUCUUUAGAUAGGGUGCAAACCCUAAAAAUUAGGCUUUGGUCUCUGUGUGCAAACACCUAGCGUCCAUCAUAGAACGUCUAGCGUCUUAUGCCAAACGCCUGGCGUUUGGACCAAAGUCCCAAAAACUAACACAACAAGAUUAAAAGUGUAAAUACAUGGAAACCAUGGUGUUACAAAUCUCCCUUGGUUUAUUGGUCCCUUUAGGAUUAUCGCCCACUUUCUUUCCAAAAAUCCAACCUUUUGACUCUCUGAAAUUUUAAUUCGGUUCGACCAAGAAAACGGGCGUUACAAUGAAGAAAUUCAAAGUUGGAAUGAUGAGCUCUUGAUGACGUAGAUGUGAUGUGAGAAGUGGUAAAAAGUUAAAAAAAGGAUUAUGUAACGCUUGUUAGAGUAUGUUCCUUAUUUUCCCUUUUAUCUUUAAUUUGUUGCAUUAUUGGUCCUUAGAGUAGUACACAGGGCGCACCACGUGGUACACUUAACAUACUAAGGAGGGAAGUGAUUGCGGGUUCGAAGCCUCGUACACUGGGUGUGCAAGGGUUAUGCAUGGCGUAACACAUGGAUAAGAAAACCCUUAUUUUAGGGUGUUGAACCCUAUAUAUGGUCCUUAAGUCCCUAGGGCUGGCCUCUUCACCAGCCUCCAUUUCCCUAAAAUCCUAAAUCUCGACCCUUAGCCUCCAUUGUUGUGUCUUUGAGCUCUCGAGAAGAAGUUGAUGCAUAUUUUGCUCAUUUUGAAGGGAUUGAAGAAGUUGAAGGUGCUUUGCUUAGUGUGAAGCUUAGAGAUCCAUAAUCAUCACUCGUUUUGCAAGUCUUUUUGAGGUAUAAAGUUCAUACAUUGUCUUCUUCUUGCUUAGAUCUCUUCAUGUCUUGGUUUUUUAUGCUUUUGGUCCCUUUUGGGUUAGUUUGAGGGGUUAAGUCGUUUGUGGGGAUUAUUCUUUUAGAUCUGAGCAUAUUGUGAGUUUCUUAAGCUUAAAGGUGCAAACUUUAUGGUGUUUAUGGCCUCAUGCAUGAAUUAAGUCAUCUAUUAUGUCCUUUUGAGCUUUAAGAGCUUCAUUAAGCCAUGCAUGCACAUAAAGAUGGCAUUUAUAUGUGAUAAACCAACCCAAAGAAGUCAGAUCUAAGUUGUGGAGUGAUGUAUUAAUUAGUUAUGAGCUGGAAAUGGAAGAUGGUUGAAUAAGAGAGUACGCUGGGCGUACAAGUAGGUACGAUUAGCGUACAAGCCCUAAGGCAAGUACGCUGCACGUAUGAGUUGAGUACGCCCCGCGUAGUCAGUAGAGUGGGCCUUGGAUUAUUGGGUUGUAACAACCUAAAAACACAGUCUGAAAGUUUCGUUUAAUCUAAUAAUAAAAACCAUAGUCGAUAAACCUCAUAUAAAAGUCAUAAGCAAUGUAUCUCAAAAUAUUAUAACAACUGUCAAGUAUAUUAGAGUAUAAACAUCCCAGGUUGAACAAAUGGUGUGUGCACUGCAAUCUUCCCGAGCUCCUCUUUUGAAAACUGAGUACCUGAAACCAAAAAUGUAAACUGUAAGCACGAAGCUUAGUGAGUCUCCCCCAACUACGACAUACCAUAUAAUAACGUAUAAAGCACAUACUGGGCCUUGCCCACUGCAUCGGAUCAAAGUCUGGACUAACCGGGGCCUUGCCCCCUGCAUUGGACCGAAGUCCGGAAACUGCAUCGGGCCGAAGCCCAGACUAACUAGGGCCUUGCCCCCUACAUCGGACCGAAGUCAGGCUAACUGCAUCGGACCGAAGUCCGGACUAACUGGGACCUUGCCCCCUGCAUCGGACCGAAGUCCGGAAACUGACUGAGCAUAACAUAUCAACUAGCAUAAGCACAUAUACUGCAUACUGCAUCAGACCGAAGUUCGGAACACAUAGCACAAAGACAUGCUUGAAUCACAAAGACAUCAAGCACACUAAACUACUGCAUCGGACCGGAGUCCGGAUCUACUGCUAACUAGACGGGUUGACAUUGUGGCCGUAGACCCAUUCCUACUGGAAGGAAAACUCACCUGGACUGCUGAACUCGGCCGAUAACCCUUUGGCUGCUAUCCGACGACUCUCCGAAAUGCUGCUCCUCUAGCUCCCUGAGCUUCAAUACCAACAAUAACACUUAGCCUAAGCUGAACUCUAGAAGUCAAACUAAGUCAACUCUAGUCAAAGUCAACCUUCCAGUUGACUCUACUCGCCGUGUCAACCUGUAAACUCGCCGUGUUCUUAAACUCAUAAUCCUUCAAAAUACCACUCAACUCACCGAGUCACCCCAAGACUCGUCGAGUUCAACGAUCUCUGAGUCCCAUCCGGACCAAACCCACCGAGUCACCACUCAACUCACUGAUCUGCGUCUUAACCAGAGAAGAUUAGGGUUCUGCGACCAGACUCGCCGAGUUCAAGAACAGACUCGUCGAGUCCAAUGUAAUCUUCAACAGACUCGCCGAGAUGUUCUUCCAACUCGUCGAGUUCCUGCCCAUCUUCAUACAACUCGCCGAGUCCACCCAUGUGACUCGCCGAGUCGCUUUAGUUCUUAAUCAAUAUAGUGACUUUUAGAGCCAUGCAGGGGCUCCAAACUGUAGAUCCACACUUCUAAGGCCCACCCUUCACGUAAAGUUGCAAACUUUACGUGAAACCAAGGAGUUAUAGGCUUGAAAUACUUUAGGGCUAGGGUUUGAGACAAACAUGCUUCACCAAUGCACCAAAGACUGAUACUUUAUGGGUUUUUAGGCCAAGACAAACCUAGAUAUGAAGUUCUCUUUGCUCACCAAGGAACAAUACACGAAUUGGCCUUGGAAAUGGCCCGAAAAUGAUAAAAUCUAACUAGGAAAGGGGAUCUAAAUGAAUAACAGCCAAGGUAUGAGCUUCAUACCUUCAAAUGAUCUGAAAUAUCACACCAACUCAGAAUCUACUGCCAAUUCUUGAAUCACCAAAGGUUCCUUUCUUCAUUCUAGCUUCAAAGCACCCAAAAAUGGCAAAGAAAGCUUGAGAGCACUAUAAUGGAGGCUUAGGGUUUCGAGAGUAGGUAAAGGGAGUGAUGGAGGCUGGGAUGGAGGCCUGAAAUGAUGCUUAAAUAGGGUACCAAGUCCGGAAAUUAGGGUUUCCCAACCCAGACCAGACUCGCCGAGUCAGUCUCCCCGACUCGCCGAGUCGGUCACUUAAUCCGCGAUACUGGUCAUGCUCCGAAUCGUCGAGUUCCUCCUUGGACUCGAUGAGUUGACUCCUUUAACUUAGGGCUUUUCUUUCUUUUCCCGGUCUUCCUGAUUCUGGGUGUUACAUGGGUCUUCGAUUUGGGCCAUAUUUUGGGCUUUGUUCGGCCAUUUGAAUUCAUGUUUUUUGGGCUAGGAAUAUUUUGGACCUUGGAUUAAGGCCCAUGAAAGGGGUUUGGGCCCAAUUUGGAAAAUUGGGGCAUGUUUGGGCCUUGGAUAAUUAUUUUGGUAUUUGGGCCUUUUAGAUUGUAGGUUUGGGCCUUAGUCUUAGACCAAACCAGGUAAGGGGUAAAAUGGUAUUUUUACCCUAACUUUGGGCUGAUGGUUAUGGAUUGGAAUCAAAUUGUUAAUAGGAUGUUAUUUGGUAUUGAUAGCUCGGGGAUUUAUCGGACCAGCAACCAAAGAUUUAUUUGUGUGAUUCAGCAGUUCGAGGUGAGUUUCCUCACCGUGUUUAGUGUGGCGAAGGCACCAAUGCUGACCCCUGAUUUUGUUAUGUUAGGGUGCUUUAUGUUUGCGUGACUCCUGCAUGUGUUAUGUACUUGUAUGCUUACCAGGUGGGGCCCGAUGAUCAUUUUGUAUGCUAUGUAUCUUUGUGAUUAUUGCAUGUGUAUGUGUUUAUACGAUAUAUGUUUAUAUGUCUGUCGGGCGAGGCCUGAUCUGUAUACUGAGCGGGGCCCAAUGACAGGUGGGGCCCAAUAUGUGUUUAUUAUGUAUGUUAUGUGGUAUUUUGGGGAACCCACUAAGCUUUGUGCUUAUGGUUUUCAAUUUAUGUUUCAGGUACUUCCAGUUCCAAAGGGAAGGGCUCGGGAUGAUUGCAGGGCACACACUACCUCAUUCCGCAUUUUCUUGAUUUAAUCUGAUGUGAUACGCUGAUUGAUACAUUUUUUUUAUCUGGAUUUUUUAUGAUGAUGUUAUUUGGAUACUGGUUUUGUUAAUUUAAAAAUGAAACUUUUGGGUCUUAUUUUUGGGACGUUACAAGUUGUUAUCAGAGCAUUGGUUUGAGAGAUUCAGACAUACUAUCGGGUGUGUCUGAACUCAAACUAAGGAUUUGGUAAAGUUUUUCAAAAAUAAAUGUAUAUUUAAUAAAAGAGUUUUCCGUAAGCGAAGAAAGGGUGUGGUGCAUGCAAUCAACCGGUCUCAAGUAAGUUUUCCCAAAAUACCCAUACAUGUUAUCUGAUAUGAUUUGAUCUUUGAAUCGCAUGCUAGUUAGGGCUAAGGAUUUGCUCAAUUUUUGCAUGAUAGAAUGCUAAGAGAGAUGCCUUUGUAUUCCUAUUGACUAGUCAGUGAUAGGAUGGAUUGAUUAGGAGAGAUGUAUUUGUAUGCCUAUUGUAGACUUGCAUGCUAAUAUUGAUCAGUCAGUGAUAGGAUGGAUUGAUUAGGUGACGGUUGGUUUUGGUUACUUGAUGCUCAAAUGCUGCUCGCUUUAUGCUUUUAGGAGUUCUUACUAGCUUCAUCUAACUAGUAAGAAAAUAUGCUAAGUUACAUAUUAUGGGAACUAAAUAAUUUUAGAAGGUUAGAUUUUAACUCUAUUACACAACUCUUAUUUGAGUCCAACCGUUGUAGUGCGAGACCUUUAAUUCAAAUAAUUAUCUGGUCUUUAUGAUAUGUAAUUGUAUUCAUGAGCUAGUUAGAGGAUGUUAUCAGGAGUUCCUUCCACAGCUAAUGGCGGAGAGUGGUGUGGAGUUUACCCUAGGAAAAACCUAGGAUGAGAUAUAGUGUUGGGAGCCUUAUUUUGUUGAGGGUUAUUUGUAUGGAUAUACGGCGACUUGGCAGAUUCAAGGCAAUCCUUGAGGAAAGUACGGAUAGAUGUGGAAGGUAGUAUGGGCCUGUAAUACUGGAAGCAGAAGAUCUGUACUUGAGUCACGGAGGGUUGCAAAGAAACCAGGAAGCUUGUAAAUAUUGUGAUCCCUUGAUGGUUUAUAUGGUCUAUUUUUAGUAUGGUGACAUUGUGAGCAGACAUGUUGGCAGUUCUUGUGCUGGAGAGGGCUAAGGCUCAGGAUCAGGAGUCGGGCGGCUAGAUGAUCAGACUAGGGGGUUCAUCUCAUCUGAGAUUACACGUUGCAUUCUUGAGCCGACUCAUGUGAUCUUUGGCACGGUCAAGGAGGGUAUUCUGGAGAUUUUGGUUGAGCGCUUGAGCGCCUUUCGUUCUGAGAUGGUGGCCUUGGUGCAGGCGCGUUCAUUGACCUUCAGGGAGUUUCGAUAAUGUGGAGCUCCGAACUAUCACGGGGAAAAGGACCCAAUAGUGAGAAGGAGGUGGUUAGCGGAUGUUGCUAACGCCUUUCACACCAGCAGUUGCCCCGAGGAGAUAAAGGUCAGACUUGCCUCUUGCCUCCUGUCUUUUGAAGGAUAGUGCAUGAGAUUGGUGGGAGGAGGUCGGGCGCUUAGUGGUUAUUAGGAUGAUUCGAUGACAUGGGAUGAUUUUAUGACCAGGUUCAGGGCUGAGUUUGUACCGGUGAUUGAGGUGCAAAAGUUGGAGUGAGAGUUUUAGGAUCUCCGCCAGACUACUGAGAUGGGGGCCAAGAUCAUUGCGAUGUUCCGGGAGAGGGCACUUUUGGUUCCGCAGUAUGCGGCAGAUGAGGAGAUGAAGAAGGCUCGGUAUCAUUAGAUGUUGAGGAGUGAUAUUUGACAGUUUGUGACCGAUACAGCUGCAAGACGUUGGAGGAUAUGAUAAUGAGAUCUAGGAAGAGGGAGAUUGAUAUGGAUAUGGAGACGAAGAGGAAGCCAGAUUAUGUGCCGAGUGCUGAGGGUUCGGGCAAAAGGCCUAAGGUAUCUGAUUCCAGAUCGAGAGGCCAUCAGGUCCGUGGCCGUUGUGGCAAGUGCGGCAAGAUGCAGGAGGGAGCGUGCAGGGUGGUUGGUUUUGGAUGAUUCAAGUGUGGCCGGACUGGUCAUAUUAGCAAAGAUUGCACUGCUACCUCCACCACCACCCCGAUAUCUGAUCUGAUUUGCUUUCAUUGCAAUCAGUGGGGAUACAAGAAGGCCCAUUGUCCGAGUUUGGCUAUAGCAGGAUCGAUGUAAGCACCCACUAUUGCAACUCUUCGGAUUACUAAUGGCCGCCAGGGCCGGGUAGAUUCACUUGUGGUGAAGAGUUGGGCCUUUCAGAUGACAACCGAGGAGGCUCGCGCGACACCAGAUAUGGAGACAAGUAUGUAUCUUCUCCCUAUCUCUUUAUUUAUAUUGAUUUGCUUGCUUAUAUUUAUGUGUUUUAUUUUAGGAUCAUUCCUUGUGAACGGUGUUUCUGCAUUGGUAUUGUUUGAUUCGGGGGCUACCUGAUCUUUUGUAUCGCUUGCACUUAGCAACAGGUAUGCUGGAGCUCCGGGGGAGCUGAAUUGUCCUCUUGAUGUCAAGAUUGCUGAAGAUAGGUCUGUUCGAGUUGCGAGGGUUCAUCGAGGUUGUACUAUUUAGUUAUUCAAUGAGCAGCAUCCAAUCGAUUUGGUUCCCAUUCCUCUACGUGGGAACAAGGUUAUUAUGGGUAUGGAUUGGUUGAGCCCUAAUCGAGCAGUGAUCGAUUGUGAGUAAUAGUUAGUUCAGGUUUGGACUCCAAGUGGGGGAGAGUUAGUGGUUCAUAGGGAUAGAUCUCAGCGUGGGCCAAUUUUGUGUUCAGCAGCGAAGGCCAGACAGUAUUUUUAGUAGGGUUGUUCCAGUUAUAUCGACUAUGUUAUGGAUACCCAGGAUAAGGGAAAGGUGACUAUGGAUGAUGUGUCGAUUAUGCAUGAUUAACUGGAUGUGUUUCCAGAGGAUUUUCCCGGGGUGCCUCCAGAGAGGCAAGUUGAGUUCACGAUUGAUUUGGUUCCUGGUGCGACUCCGAUAGCCAAAGCACCGUAUCGGUUGGCUCCUCCCAAGAUGCAUGAGUUGAAAGGUUUUGAGCACUCUAACAACCUUAUGGUUCACAUGCAACCCUAGAUGCUUUGGAUCUAUGUUUUCUCUAAUUAUACAUGCAAUUUGAUUUUCUAAAGCAUUCAUCCUAACUAGCAUACAAUUGAACAAAAUAACUAGUUAGAUAACUUACCUCUUAAUAGGACUUGUAGUUCUUGGCCUUCAAAAGCAAUAACACCUCAAAUGUGAUGCCUCUAAUGUGUCAAAAACACCAAGUGCAAAAGGAGGCUUGAGAGAAUAAGUUACUUAGCACAAAAUCGAUUCACACUCUCCGAGAAUGUAUGUGGCAACCGAUUUCCAUUUAUAGUGUGACAAGUGCUAGGGUUACAUCCAUGCAAACCCUAAUGGACCAUGACUCUUCAUAUUACUUAGGCUCCAUGGGUUAACCUCCAUGGACUAUCCAUGUAGGUUUAGCCCAUCCUAAAUAACUAUGGAUCAUUGGCCCACACUAUAAGAAUCAUUGAUUUACCAAAUCAGUCCCCAUAUAUUUAAUUAGUCCCUUUUGAUCACUAAAUUAAUUCCAAAAAUUAAUUCUUGAUCAAUACUAAUUAAAUUAUAUGAUUUCAUAUUAAUAUAUUAUACUUGUAAUAUAUUAACAAAUCACAAAUAACCUUAUUCUCAAAAGUCCAUCCUAUCAAUUUGCAUUGAUGAAGGCAACCCAAAAGGACCAUGCUACUUUUGGGUCAAGUACAUACCAAUUAUAGUUAUGGGCUUAGACACCUAAUCCAACAGUCUCCCACUUGGAUAAGUCUAAUAACUAUAACUGCAAGUACGACUUAAAACCGACUAGCAAUCGUAGGUCUUAAAAGCCGCUGUCGAAAUCUGACCCAGUUAGUGACGCGUCCUUUAGACAAGGGAUCAUAUAAUCCUAUGUUCUUCAAGAUAUCAGCCGGACAAAUACAUGGAACAAUGUCAUACUUAUUGCCCAACAGUUUGUUUCUCGAUUUCCAAUUUGUUUGACAGAGAACAUAAUUGAACACAUCAAUUUAGUCUUGACCGGACCCAACACAUAAGUCAAAACAAAAUCAUCGAGGGACCCAUAAUAUCGCUUUUAAUCCUCCAAUAAUUAAAAGGAACAUAUAAACUUCGACAUUAUAUGCUUGUACUAACUAUUCAUCAAAUCAUACACAACAGUGGGUUUUAUAACAUAAGGUUACUGAUGCGUUUUCGCACUAUCAAUGUACAAGCAACUCAUAGUCAACAAAUCAUAUAUCUUGGUUUGAAGACUUAUAUGAUAUUAUCGUCUCACAAUCACUCGUGAUAAAUUCCAUGAAGUGAUUCAAGUGAGCGUGGGUUUAAUCCAAUACUCAGACCUUAUGAGCACUCAUGAAUUUUAUAAGUACUGCGUAGGUACUUAAGUCAUCACUCCCACCAAGAGUAAGGACCCUGUCCUUAGUCCUGCGUAGGUACUUAAGAAUGUUCUUUAUCGCAGUCCAGUGAGCCUUACCAGGAUUCCCUUGAUAUUUGUUGACCAUGCUUAAAGCAAAGGCCACAUCAUGGCGAGUACAAGUCAUAACAUACAUGAUCGAGCCAACCGUAGAAGCAUAUGGUACUCGACUCAUCUAAGCUAUUUCAGCCUCUGGACUCGGACUUUGAGUCUUACUCAGUUUGGUAUUGCCUUGGAUGGGUAAGUCACCUUUCUUGGAAUUCUCCAUGCUGAAUCGUUUCAAUACCUUGUCCAAGUAGGUACUUUGACUAAGUCGAAUUAGUCUUUUACUCCUGUUUCUCAAUAUCCUUAUCCCUAGGAUGUAAGAAGCUUCUCCAAGGUCCUUCAUAGCGAACCACUUCCCAAGCCAGGACUUAACCUUUUGCAAGGUUGGAAUGUCAUUUCCUAUGAGUAGUAUGUCAUCCACAUACAACACAUGUAAGCUAACUAUACUCCCACUAGCCUUGACAUACACACAAGACUCAUCCUUGCUUCUCAAAAAUCCAAACUCUUUGACUUUCUCAUCGAAACAAAGAUUCCAUCUGCGAGAUUCUUGUUUCAAUCCAUAAAUGGAUUCUCAAGCUUACACACUAUAUUAGGGUACUUUGCAUUGACAAAACCCUCUGGCUGACUCAUGUAAACAUCUUAAGCCAACUUCCCAUAAAGGAAAGCGGUUUUGACAUCCAUUUGCCAUAUUUCAUAAUCAUGAAAUGUAGCUAUGGCUAACAUAACCCUAAGAUUUAAUCUUCGCUAUUGGUGACAAGGUCUCGUCAUAGUCAAGUCCAUGAGUUUGAGUAAAGCCCUUCGCAACCAGUCGCACCUUAUAUGUGUGUACUUUCCCAUCCAUGUCGGUCUUCUUCUUGAAGAUCCAUUUGCACCCGACUGUCUUACGACCGGUACAUUGUCAACCAAGUUCCAAACUUUAUUUUUAUACAUGGAUUGAAUCUCGCUGUCCAUAGCCUCUUUCCACUUUGCAGACUCGGGGCCUGUCAUGGCUUCCUUGUAACCGUUAGGUUCAUCCAAAUUUACUAGUGUGCUAUCACUGAUAAAUGUAUCACCCUGAGAUGUUAUAUGGAAACCAUACAACACACGUGGAACACUAAUUCUACUGGAGCGCCUCAGAGGCACAGACUCGUCAACUGGUUCAACAUGAGUUUCCUCCUCAGGUUGAUUGCUAGUAUUUGAGGUUCCUUCGCCGCUUGACUCUUGAAGCUCUUCAAGGUUAAUUUUCCUCCCACUGUCUCAUGUGCCUAUGAGUUCUCUCUCAUGAAAGACUCCUCUCCUCGCAACAAAAACAACAUUGUCACUCGGUCUAUAAAAGAGAUAUCCAAAGGAUUUUUGUGGGUAGCCGAUGAAAAUACACAGCUCACUAUGAGGUUCGAGCUUGCUGUGAGUCUCGUGCCUCAUGAAAGCCUCGCAACCCCAAACCUUGAUGUGUGCUAACGAGCGAACCUUCCAUGUACACAUAUCGUGAGGUGUUUUGGAAACCUUCUUAGUUGGGACUAUAUUACGGAUAUGGGCGGCAGUCUCUAAGGCAUACCCCCAGAAUGAGAUAGGUAACGAAGCUCAACUCAUCAUGGAACGAACCAUAUCCACCAAGGUUCGAUUUCGUCUCUCAGCCUCACCAUUAAGUUUUGGUGUCGUAGGUGGCGUCAAUUGUGAAAAAAUCCCACAUUCCUUAAGAUAGUCUUGGAACUCGAUACUAAGAUACUCACCACCCCGAUCGGAUCAAAGCAUCUUUAUCUUCCUGCCCAACUGAUUCUCCACUUCUUGUUUAAACUCUUUGAAUCUUUCAAAGGUUUCUGACUUAUUUUUGAUUAGGUAGAUAUAUCCACAUCUAUUUUAGUCAUCAAUAAAAGUCACAUAGAAGAGGUUAGCAUCCCUUGUGGCGGUUCUGAAAGGUUCACACACAUCGGUGUGUAUGAGAUCCAACAAACCUUCACCCAUUUUAUAAGUACCAGUGAAGGGUGACUUGGUCAUCUUUCCAAGAAAACAAGAUUCGCAAGUGUCAUCCGACCUUAAGUCAAAUGACUCCAAAACUCCAGUCUUUUGGAGUUGGCCUAUGUGCUUCUUGCUGACAUGUCAAGGACGAUAAUGCCACAAGCAUGUCUUAUCCAAAACAUUGGAAGAAUCAAUAUGCAACACAUUAUUUCCUAAGUUGUCUACAACCAUCAUAGUUUCAUAUACACCAUUACAAGGCAAUUAUUUAAAAUAAAAAACACCAUUAUGAAAGCAUUAAUAGCACCAAUUUCAUUAUCAAAUGAAAAACUAAACCUUGUUUGUACAAACCAUGAAAGGAAAUAAUAUUUCUCGCCAUAUCAGACGAGUAGCAACAAUUAUUCAAAUCUAAUUCUAACCCACUACUAAGCAAUAAAGAGUAAACUCCAAUCUUGGUGACAAGUGAAACCUUCCUAUUCCCCAUGAUCAAGUUCAUCUUUCCGUGCUCCACAUCCUUAUUUCUUUUUAGUCUAUGCAAAUCAGAAAAAAGUGAAAUCCACAACCUGUAUCAAGGAACCAAGAACAAGAAUGUGAUGAGUUAUUAGAUAGAAUAGUAUAAAUACAUGAAUGGGUGGCCUUAACCUUCCCAUCUUUGACAUCCUGCAGGUACUUGGGGCAGCUUCUCUUCCAGUGCCAUUUUUCAUGACAAUAGAAACACUCUGCUUCCUUAGGAAUGGUAGAGGGAGCAACAGAACCACCUUUGGUUCCACUUUAAGAGGAUCCAUCAAGAGAAUUUACCUUGCGACUCUUAGAGGGAUCCUUCCUCUUCUUCCCUUUCCCAUGUCCAAUUGCCAAGACAGAGGUAGUAGUAGUAGGAGUAGAAAAAACAGAUUUACCUUUGAGACUACUUUCAGUAGUCCUUAAAAGGCCUUGUAGCUUGCUAAGAGUGAGCUCCUCCUUGUUCAUAUGAUAGGUCAUACGGAACUGAUCAUAACAUGGAGGUAAAGAGUGUAGAAUGAUAUCUAUCGCCAACUCUUCAUCUAAGUCCAGAUUCAACUUCAACAAGCAGUCCACAAAUCUUUGCAUUUUCUGCAAGUAGCCCAUGAUGGGUUCUCCAUCCUUCAUCUUUGAUGUUAUCAUGGAGGCGAUGAUUUCAUACCUCUCUUGACGAGCACCCUGAUGGUAUCUUUCCAUCAGGUCUUGGUGCAUCUCAAAAGGGUAGAAGUCCUCAUAUGACUUUUGGAGUUCAGUUGUCAUAGUGGCCAACAGGAUACAAGACACCUUGGUGGCAUCCUUCUCAUGAGUCCUGAACUCAACGAUCUCCUCAGGAUUAGCAUCAAUUUCACAUUUUUCCUAAAGUAACUAAGAUUGGGAAUUUAAUAAAACAUUUAGUUACUUUAUAAUUAUCAAUAUACUUUUAAUGAGAAUUAAUGUCCUAUCCUACCGGUUUGGCUAACAACCCUCCACUAGUCAAGGAAGCGGUGGGUGAGAGUGGACAUCCAUUAAACCACUAUUUUAUAGGAAGUAACCUUAUACCCCCUUAUAGACCGACUUCGUGAAUGAGGCCUACUAACGGUAAGACUGACUUGUCUUAUACAUAUAUAUAAUUAUUAAACUUUUAAUAUUAUAAUAGUAUAAGGGUUGAAUUUUAAACUUUUAAUAUUAUAGGGUUUGGAAUUAAAGUAUUCAUAAGUGUGACUUUCCAAAUUCCAAAACUUGAGAGCAACUUUUGAAACUCAUCAAAACUUUUCAUUUCCAUAACUUAUGAGUUUAAUGACUUUUAAAGAAAAAGACUUUUCAAUUUCCAUAACUUGAGGACAAGUUAUGGAGUUCAUUAAAGGCAUUUAGAUCAAUAUUUUAAUUAACAAAAUAAUCAAAUAAUUUAUCCAUAAUCUAGUUAAACUCAUAAGUCAGGAUAAUUCAUAUCAACAAUUUGCAAGAAAUUAGCCUAAUCAUAUAAACUAAUACAAAUAUUGAAAUUUUGACAAUUAUCUUUUAAUUGGAUAAGCAUGAUCACUACCAUAUCAAGAAAACAAAUUUUAUGUUUCAAAAAACAGUUUGUGGAAAUGAUCCUAAUCCAAUUCUGGCCAAAACUCAAAAAUUUGCAGCCAGAGCCAUAAACUCGACGAGUGCAUGAACCUAAAUCAUCAAGUUGGUCUUUUUCUGAGUGGACUCGUCGAGUCAGCCAGUGGACUCGGCGAGUUCAUCAGUCAGAAGCUAGAAAAUUGAUUUUUUCAAUUUGGAAAACUAAUAAGCAUCAAGUAUAAUAGAAAACAAUCCUAGGCUCUGAUACCACUGAUGGGUUUUAAGCACUCUAACAACCUUAUGGUGCACAUGCAACCCUAGAUGCUUUGGAUCUAUGUUUUCUCUAAUUAUACAUGCAAUUUGUUUUUCCAAAGCAUUCAUCCUAACUAGCAUACAAUUGAACAAAAUAACUAGUUAGAUAACUUACAUCUUAAUAGGACUUGUAGUUCUUGGCCUUCAAAAGCUUUAGCACCUCAAAUGUGAUGCCUCUAAUGUGUUACAAACACCAAGUGCAAAAGGAGGCUUGAGAGAAUAAGUUACUUAGCACAAAAUCGAUUCACAUUCUCCAAGAAUGUAUGUGGCAACCAAUUUUGGCUCUAGAGGGUUCCAUUUAUAGUGUGACAAGUGCUAGGGUUACAUCCAUGCAAACCCUAAUGCACCAUGACUCUUCACAUUACUUAGGCUCCAUGGGUUAACCUCCAUGGACUAUCCAUGUUGGUUUAUCCCAUCCUAAAUAAUAAUGGAUCAUUGGCCCACACUAUAUGAAUCAUUGAUUUACCAAAUCAGUCCCCGUAUAUUUAAUUAGUCCCUUUUGAUCACUAAAUUAAUUCCAAAUUAUUCUUGAUCAAUACUAAUUAAAUUAUAUGAUUUCAUAUUAAUAUAUUAUACUUGUAAUAUAUUAACAAAUCACAAAUAACCUUAUUCUCAAAAGUCCAUCCAAUCAAUUUGCAUUGAUGAAGGCAACCCAAAAGGACCAUGUUUCUCUCGGGUCAAGUACAUACCAAUUUAGUUAUGGGCUUAGACACCUAAUCCAACAGGAGUUGCCUAUAUAGUUGCAGGAGUUGUUAGACAAGCGAUUCAUUCCACCAAGCAGUUCGCCUUGGGGAGCACCGAUCUUAUUCGUGAAGAAGAAUGAUGGGUCUCAUCGUAUGUCCAUUGACUACUGGGAGCUGAAUAAGGUAACGGUGAAGAACCGUUAUCCACUCCCGAGGAUUGAUGAUCUUUUUGACCAACUUCAGGGUCCAUCUUGGUUUUCCAAGAUUUAUUUGUGAUUGGGUUAUCAUUAGAUGAGGUUUAGGGAUGAGGAUAUGUAGAAGAUAGCUUUCCGGACUCGUUAUGGUCAUUACGAGUUCGUGGUGAUGCCUUUUGGGCUCACCAUUGCUUCAGCUGCGUUUAUGGAUCUCAUGAACCGCGUGUGCAAAUCGAUGCUGGAUCAGUCUGUAAUUGUAUUCAUUGAUGAUAUCUUAGUUUAUUCCAAGACUCAAGAGCAGCACGAGGAGAACUUGAGGGAAGUGUUGGAGACGUUGAGGUGGUAGAGACUUUUCACAAAGUUGUCUAAGUGUGAGUUCUGGUUGCGCAAGGUGCAGUUUCUGGGGCUGUUUGUCAACCAGAAUGCUAUUCUGGUCGAUCCGGCCAAGGUUGAGGCCAUGAUGCAGUGGGAGGUUCCGAGGUCUCCAUAUGAGAUUCAAAGUUUUCUUGGUUUGGCGGGUUAUUAUCGGAGAUUCAUCCAUGAUUUCUCCAAGAUAGUUGUUCUUUUGACCCGACUGACAAAGAAGAUGGUUACAUUUCGUUGGGGGCCUAAGCAACAGACAACUUUUGAGACCUUGAGAAAAUGGUUGUGCGAGGCACACAUUUUGACCUUGUCGAAGGGUGUUAAGAAUUUUGUGGUAUAUUGUGAUGCGUCGAUCACAGGAUUGGGGGAAGUGUUGAUGCAGAGGGGUUGUGUGAUUGCUUACGCUUCGAGGUAGCUGAAGCUUCAUGAGGAGAAUUAUCCGACAUAUGAUUUGGAAUUGGGGGCCGUGGUUUUCACCCUUAAGAUUUGGUGGCAUUACCUUUAUGGGGUUUGUUUUACUAUUUACACGGAUCACAAGAGCUUGAGGUAUUUGAUGGAUCAUCCGAAUCUGAAUGUGACGCAGCCCCAGUGGUUGGAUGUGGUGAAGGAUUAUGAUUGUGAGAUCCUUUAUCACCCAGGGAACGCCGACAUGGUGACCGGUUCUCUCAGCCGCAAGGCGGUCGCGGCUCUGAUCAAAGACAUAUGUUUGAGGAUGACCAUGAUUACUCCGUUGUUGGAGCAGAUUCAUGAGGCUCGGGUUGAUGCUACGAAAGAAGAGCACCAAAAGAGUGAGCGUAUUGUGGGUUAGGUGGCUUCCUUCGAUUAUGAUAGACGUGGAUUGUUGACUCUACAUCAGUGGGUUUGGGUUCUGUAUUGGGACAGUGUAUGUUAGGUUCUGAUUGAGAAGGCGCAUAAGUCUAGGUUCUGGAUUGGAAUCAAAUUGUUAGUUGGAUAUUAUUUGGUAUUGAUAGCUCGGGGAUUUGUAGGACCAACAACCAGAUUUAUUCGUGUGAUUCAACAGUUCGAGGUGAGUUUCCUCACUCUGUUUAGCGGGCCGAAGGUACCAAUGCCGACCCAUGAUUUUGUUAUGUUAGGGUGCUAGAUGUCUGCAUGACUCCUGCAUGUAUUAUGUAGUUGUAUGCUUACCGGGCGGGGCCCGAUGACCAUUUUUUAUGCUAUGUAUCUUUGUGAUUAUUGCAUGUGUAUGUGUUUAUAUGAUAUAUGUUUAUAUGUAUGUCGGGUAGGGGCCCGAUCUGUGUACCGAGCGGGGCACGAUGUCGGACGGGCCCUAUUAUAUGUUUAUUAUGUAUGGUAUGUGGUAUUUUUGGGAACUCACUAAGCUUUGUGCUUAUGAUCUUUAGUUUAUGUUUAAGGUACUUCCAGUUCCAAAGGGAAGAGCUCGGAAUGAUUGCAAGGCACACACCACCUCAUUCUGCAUUUUCUUGAUUUACUCUGAUGUGAUACGUUGAUUUAUACAUUUGUUUUAUCUAGAUUUUUAUGAUGGUGUUCUUUGGAUACUAGUUUUAUUAACUUAAAAAUGAAACUUUUGGGUCCUAUUUUUGGGACAUUACAUAUUGAAGAAGAUAAAACCUAUUAAACUCAAGUACGCAUCUUGAAUAACCAUCAGACGCAUCACGUUUUAUGACAAAGGGCUCUUCAGAUCGAGAUUUAUCAUUUUAUGCAUCAUGUUUUUCUUCAAGACACGUCGCGUAAUUCCUAUUGCUUUCAAACUUGAACUUCACCAGUUAUUCAUAACAAGAAACCCGACAUCAGUUAUAGCCAGUGUUGUAAAACUCGCUGAGUUGGCCGAUUACUCCUCCAAGUACUCGCUACUCCCCCUUGCCGAGGUGAGUUACAUAAUCCCGAGUACUCCCCGAUUGGCCCCUUAUGAACUGAUUAGUGUUGUGAAAUUUGGUCAACUCGGUGACUAAUAUCCGACAUAUGAUUUGGAAUUGGGGGCCGUGGUUUUCACCCUCAAGAUUUGGUAGCAUUACCUUUAUGGGGUUUGUUGUACUAUUUACACGGAUCACAAGAGCUUGAGGUAUUUAAUGGAUCAUCCGAAUCUAAAUGUGACGCAGUGCCAGUGGUUGGAUGUGGUGAAGGAUUAUGAUUGUGAGAUCCUUUAUCACCCAGGGAACGCCAACAUGGUGACCAGUUCUCUCAGCCGUAAGGCGGUCGCGGCUCUGAUCAAAGACAUAUGUUUGAGGAUGACCAUGAUUACUCCGUUGUUGGAGAAGAUUCGUGAGGCUCGGGUUGACGCUAUGAAAGAAGAGCACCAAAAGAGUGAGCGUAUUGUGGGUUAGGUGGCUUCCUUCGAUUAUGAUAGACGUGGAUUGUUGACUCUACAUCGGCGGGUUUGGGUUCCGUAUUGGGACAGUGUGUGUUAGGUUUUCACCGUGUCAUUAUUACUACAUAUAUGUUAAAUUUUCAGUAAUUAUUCACGAAGUGAGACCAUUAUGUGUUUUUCAUUUUUUGUGUAUUCACAUGUAUCCGAUUUUGUUAUAUAUUUCAAUCAACUUAUGAUUUUAUCUUAUGAUUUUGACAUAUAUAAUUUCCCUAAAAAUAUUUCUACACAAAUUUCCAAAUCCGAGUACUCGCGAGUACUCGCUACUCGGUAGUCAGCCGAACAGGUACCGAGUAACGAGUUCUACAACCUUGGUUAUAGCCCAAAUACAUCAUAGAAUCAUGACCAAAAAUCUUUUGAAGGGUGUAAUGCAAUCAAUAUAAUCCAAAAGCCCAUAAGUCUAAAAUUUAAAAGAACAAACUAGAAAACUAAAAACUAAACACCGAGUUGCCUCUCAGAAGCGCUUAAUUAAUGAGUCUUUAGCUGGAUUUCAUUCCCCGACUUAAACCUUCUAGGAAAUUGUCUCCAUGUAUCUCGAAAGAGUACCCAGGAAAUAGAAUUGCAACACCUUUGAAAAUUUCCAACCUAAUUUCCCGUGCUCAAGAUAGAUGCUUGUUGGUUCCUCAUUGCAAUUUCUAUACGUGGUCUGAUUCUUUUCACCAGUUGCUUAGUCUCCCUAUGUAUUUUGUCAAACACCUCUAGAGAUCUUGCUAGCAUAGAUUCAAAAUCCGACUUCUUUUCUUGUUGUGUAGGUAGCUCCGAAGACUCUUUACUGUAGUACCCUUGCCCACUUUACGUGUACCUUUCCUCUCCGCCUUUUAUAUAUUCUUCACAAGGCUUCCAAUUGUUUCAAGGCUUUCAGUCUUCAAAUCUAUCUUCUCAGGAAUAACACACUUAUUACUUUACAUUUCCAUAUCCAUCCAUAGUGCAAUCGUUAGCUAGAUGAGGCCCAUUGUAGUUAUCACACCCAACUUGAAUAACAUGAAUCGUCUGAUUUAUCUUCUUCAUAUCUCUUCCCAAAGUUUCUAGUUUUGCAUCUAAAGCUACAAGACCUUUUAGUCGUUUCAUCUUCUUUAUUUCUGAAAGAUACGUCUAUAGAAGAAUGUCACUAGUACGGGUGUUGAGCCAACUCUUCAAUGAUUUCUUUUCCUUUAACAUGACUCUUUUGGGGAAUUGGUCCUUAAGAUCUGACCAUCUAAUGAGUGGCUACAUCAAUACCGUUUAGAAAGCAUGUACCUCUUGAUGAGCAUUAAGAUCAUGCUGAGGGAAAUCUUAUAACAUCUCUUUGUAACUAUCUCAUGCAUCAUAAAGUGUUUCAUCAUCAAGCUGCUAAAAGUUUUGGAUUUUUAUCUUUAUUUUUGGAUUUUGGAAGGUUGACCUAAUUGUUUGAUGAACUUGGUCUUUAAAUUCACCCAAGUUGUGGUUCAAUAGGAUAGCUCAGCUUUCAACCAAAAUAUCACAGUCCCUUGAAGUGCAAUAGGAAAUACCCUAAGCAUAACUUUAUCAUCCAGAAAUCCUGCUGCUUUGAAAUAGUCGACCAUGUCGAGCACAUCUUCUAUAUCUUUGUUAGAAUCUUCAUUGUCCUUUCCAGAAAAAGGAGUCUCCUUUAAUAAAUGCAUAAACUAUCCCUUGAUUUAGAAACCUUUUUCAUUCGAAAUUGGGAGACAAACUAUUCCAAACACGAUGGUUUCUGUUGUGCGACUCAUAUACUCGUCCAAUGACUUAUCAUUGACAUUCACCAUCUCAACUUAUCAUUCAUAAAAGUCUUUUUCUUCCUUUUCUUUUCGUUCUCUUUUCACAGAGAAUGAAUUUCACGUUUGAUUUCUGGAAAUGGUGGUGUUACUUCUGAAGUUGAUGCUCAAGUCUAUACUAUUAGCAUAUCAAAUAAUAAAACCGGUCAACCAAANNNNNNNNNNNNNNNNNNNNNNNNNNNNNNNNNNNNNNNNNNNNNNNNNNNNNNNNNNNNNNNNNNNNNNNNNNNNNAAAGCUUACUGAUUAGAGAAGGCAUUGCAUGUGUUACUGUGAUACCUUCUUCGACAAAAGAGUAUAUUUACAUAAACAAAAAAAUUUCUUAUAGGAAUGCUCGCCGAAUGAAUCGAUUAACUAAGAACAAGACAACCUAAACUAAAUUCAACAGUACCCCCAUAAUAACGCCAAAAACUUGAUGUGUUUAAAUCUAGUAUUAAAUUUAUAAUAGGAAAUACCAGAACUAGGGAUUGUUAACACAAUUUGGGAAGUGUGGCUAAUUGUUUAGUAGUAUAGUUGAGGUAAGAAAAAAAAUCAACUAACAGUUAAACUAAAAACAAUAUUAAAAGUUAGAGAUUUGAGAUUUUGAAUCUAAAAUCUAAACUUGAAAAGAGAAAGUAAUGCAAAAAGUAUAACACAUUGGAAAACAAGUUGUAAAAAAGAAUGAUAAGGAUGCUUUCACUUAGACUUGAUUCCAUAUUUAGUUAUGGUUGAUUCAUACAAAGUGCAAUGUAUAUUUGUUGUUACCCACUGAUUCCUAAGUUGAUUAGUUCCAUUGUGUGACAUCAUCUACUUUUCAGAACCAUUUUUUUCUUUACGCUUUAAAAAACACAAUACUUUUGUUUGCGGAAAUCCCAGUACAAUAAAACAUUUUGCAUAAACUAUUUUUGUUUAUUAAAUAUCUUGAGUAAAGAUGUUGUUUCAUAAUACAAAAAAAAGAACUAAGGAUGUCAUAAUCAAUACACAACAUAUGUUAUAGCAUAAAGACCUAACGGUCCUGAACACUAUUGCAGGUUGUUUCUUAAUCACUUGACAUCCUAAUUAAGUUCCAACAACUUUAACUCUGUUACCCUUGAUGCAUAUAAUUUGCGUGUGUCAAGUUGGGAAACCUGGUGAGACACAUAUGUUUUAAAUCCCACAAUAUUAUUAUGAUAAUAAUGUAUAAUUAUCAAACCUACAAAACUAACUAUUACCAAACAAUAUAGAUAUAUCUCAUAACUUAGAUAUCUAUAAAACCUUACACCCAUACAUACCCAUCCCAACCGAUUCUUAUAAAUCCUAGUCAACGAUUAUUUGUAAGAAUCAACUCACCUGAUGAAUCAUUUAGAGCAAUGGUUUGACUACACAACUAGGGGUUUCCUUGGCCGGUGUAAGUCAUAAUGAAAAAUUAACCCAUCAGAUUAUUUGAUAAAUAUGGUAUCCCAUUUCAUCUACUUUUGUAGGUUAUAAGUCCACACUAGAAACGUAAUUCACUAGACUGUCUAGAAUAAUCAAGUGUUAUCAUGUUACUCUGGGAGAUGAUCAAACAUACCAUUUAUGCUUCCUGAUCGGACCGAUGAUCGAAAACCACCAUAUUUGGCUCCAAAGGAAUACUAAAUCAUACUCCGAUACGUAAUCCAUACAUCGACACUUGAUGGUGUGACAUAACAGAGCUCUACUCUUCGUUCCUAUCGCACAUACCCUUACUAUGAUGUUACCCAAUAUCCAAACUUAAUUAAACUAAACAUCAUUUAUAAGUCUUAUUUCAUUACUAGGAAAGACUAUAAUACAUGUAAUCAACUUACAAAAACAUUUCCCAUCUAUACCAUAUUAUCGUAAUACAGUAUACGACUGUACUUUUAUCAAACUUAACUGGAACUAAUCAUCCUUUAUAUGUUUUAGUUUAAAAAUAGACUAGACUAUAACAUAAAUAGUCAACUUUCAAUAUGUAUUCCUUGUUAAUGCAAUAUUAUUUGAAUAAAGGGCAUGACUAAGUACUUAUCCAAUUUAUUUCAUACUAAGCAUCCUCUAUAAAUAUUACUUCAAGACUAUGAUAUGUAUAAACAAUUUCUAAAAACAUUUUUUAUGAAAUACUUAUCAUACUACAGGCAUAUAUAUNAUUUUGGUAUAAAUUUAAUUUUUUUAAGUAAUAUUACGUGUAUCAAGAUUAUCACACAAUAUUACCAAAAUAACCUUUAGCAUAUAAUCUACUAUCCUAAUAAAACAGUACCAAAUUGCCACGUGGCAAUUUCUCAGCCUCCCCCAAGCUAUUUUUCCCGCUCAAAUUAUCUAAGUGGUAUACCGAAAUUGCCCUUUUGGUCAUUUCAACACACAGUGCAGUAAAAUCUGGAAUGUGAUCUGCAAAAGAAAUUCAAACUCAAUUAAAAUUUCACCCGUAUUCUCUGCAAUUGCAUGAUUUUAGGAAAUAAAUGUCGAAAUUAAAUGAUAAUGAUAAUAAUCAAUAUAUCAAUAUAUAUUCCAUAUAUAAAAGAUAUAUUCAUAUCCCUACAUAUGAGCGUUAGUUUAGAUUGUAAUUUUAAAUUAUUAAAUAAAAAAAAUGUUUCAUCCCAUACGUGAGUUUAAACAUCAUAAACCACUUAGUUAUCCUUUUCUAUCAUUCAUAAAUUCGAAAUUAUUUUGAAUACAGUAAAUCACAAAAAAUCAGGAAAUAGAUUUCAAUCCAUGUAUUCGAAUUAUCUGUUGAACUUAAAGGCUCUUUGCCCUUGCAGAAUACAUUGUUCCUGAAGAAAAAACACACAAGAUUUUCAUUAUUGAUUGAGGUAAGUGCGCAUCAGCUUUCGUAUAUAUUCGUAUAUAUCUGUACAUAAAAUAAAAUCAGUAUCAGUUUUCGGAAAUAAUAAUAUAUACAAAUUUAGCACUCAAAAUGUAAUCACCUAAAAGAUAAUGAAACAUCUUACCUUAAUGUUUCGGAUUUGAAAUUUCAAAUCUUCCUAUUCCAAUAAACCUGCAUUAAAAAUCACAUAAAAUCAGGAAGAAUUUUUCAAUUAAAAGAUAACAGAACAUCUUACCUUAAAUAUCGUAAACAUCGUUCUUUCAGUUUCUGAACUAUAUAUCCACCGCUUACUUGGAUAUAUGAUAUUCUGCUUCAUAUUCUUCCUGUAUCGACUGCAUCUUUGAAAUUCUGCUUCAUCAAACUUCAACGCAUAAGGUUAGUUUUUAUUCUAUCGUUAUUUAUUUCUGCAUUUAUUUCCUUCUCCUUCAUCUUCUUCAUGGUUCCUCUAUCGCAUCUCAGUAUUCCUGAAUCAUCAUCUUUUGCUGGAUAUAAUAUAUCUAAUAUUGUAGUGGGAUUCUAAACCGUUUUUUUUUUUCUUUUUCUGUUUUUAUUCUACUAUAAAGGAUCAAUGCAAUUAGCAUUAAACAUUCAAUUCAUCCUUCUUUGUUGGAAAUAAUAUAGCAAAUAGCAUAAUACUUUGCUGGAAAUUAUAAUAUUUGCUGCAAAUAAUAUAGCAAUUAGCAUAAUGUGAUGGUAAACUGUUUUUUUAUUCUAUAUAUACACAAAGUACUUUCCAGAAAAUAAUAAUAAAAAAACAGACAAAAAGAAAUUGUAAACACGUUCAAAAUUUAACAAUGUACUUUUAUGAUGAAUCAGAAAGUAGGAUAAUCUAAUAAUAAAAAAAAGUAUGUUACUAUUUCCUCAAUUUAACCCUUUGUUUUUUUUUUUUUAAUUUAACAUAUUCAUCUGCUUAUUUAAGUGAGUCAAUUCACACCUUAUCUUCUUACUUUUUGUGUUGGGUUUCAUGAGCUAAUAAUUAAGGUUGUGUUAUUGAUUUUAUUCGUAAAAAAAAUUAAUAGAAUCAGACAAAAUCAUUUUUUGAUGAUCAUACCUAUGUUUAGCAUUAUUGUUGUUGUUGUUUAUUUAUUUAUUUUUUUUUAACUAAUAAACCUUCCAAGUAUGUGAAUAGUUGUUUUUAGUUGUGGGAAUUUACUAAAAUUGUUUAUUUAAAUCAUAAUAGUUAGUGAUGGAAAAUAUCAUCAUUUGCACGUGUAGUGAAACAACAUUGCCCAUGUGUGGAAUUAUUUGAUGAUCAUGAUUUGCACGUGAUGAUUGUUCUAAACAAAAAAAACAUUGUAUAGCAGUUGAUAAUUGUUCUAUAAAUUUGCCUAAAAAAUGAUACAGUGUUGGAUGUAAGGUAAAAUACUGAAAUAUUAUUGUCUAAAUACAUAUUUAACCGGUUACACUAUUAGUCAUUACAAUUACAAUUUGGAUUUAUUAGUGAUGUUUGUCAUUUUUUUCUGUGCAUCUGUUACACUCGAAAUCCAAGUAUUCAAGAAACAAAUAUUUACUGUUUUUGCUUUAUUUCCAACUUGUUGAAUGUUUACAAAAUUAUGUUAGGNUCUAACUUGUCAAAUGUUUACAAAAUUAUGUUAGGUCCUAUUUCUACCUAUGUCAACUUUGUGAAUGUAUAUAUUUUAGACAAAGUGAAUGUAUUUUUAACAGUAUUUGAAACAAUAAUGUUUUCCAUCUAUAUUUGUACUGUAAUAUAUUAUGUAAUAUGUUUAUAAUUGUUUGCAUUUAAUAUUAACUGUUUAAUAAUAUGCUUUGAAUUUAUAAUGUAAAGGGCAAAAUUUAUAAUAAUUUCAAUAUGCUAUCAAUUGUUCGCAGAUAAUGAAUAUCGGCAAUAAACUAUAUCUAAAAGACAUUGAACAUAUUGCUGAUGAUUCACAUCUCAAACUACGGGUGUUAAAGAUUUGGAAUUUUAUAAAAAAUAACCACGUUUUAUCGAUUGAAAUGAUCGUCAUGGACGAGGAGGUUAGUUUACUUUUUUUAAACCUACUAAAUAUUACAUAUGUUUCAAAGAAUAAUUUUUUUGUUUUUGUUUUAACAGGGUACAAAAUACCAAUCUCGUGUUUUCCACCAAAAUUUUUCAAGAUUUCGUGACCUUUUAAAGGAAGGUGAAAGUUAUAUCAUUUUAAAACCAAACUUGGCGGGUGUUAAAAAUGGUUUUAGUGUUACCGGUCAGAAACAGACAUUAACUUUGGAUUGGAAAAGUAUCGUAAAAAAAUCUGAUGAUUUUUCGGGUCCCGUUAAUGGUUUUGUGUUUGCUGAUUUCAACUCUAUCAUCGAAUAGAAAUGCCCAAGAGACACAUUAUUUGGUUAGUUGUUUAAUUUUAUUUCAUUCACUUUUAUAACUAAAAGAAAUAAAUUAUAAAUGUUAGUAUUUAACUGAUUCUUAUAUUUUUUUUAUUUUAAAAUUGUGUAGAUGUUAUUGGGCUAAUUGUCUCAUUUAGGCCACUUGAGACAACCAAUCCUAAUCCAUCAAAACAUUACAUGAAGAUGACUAUUAGCAACUUAGAGUGAGAUGAUAUUUAUUUCAUUUAUUUAUUAUUUUUAGUCAUAUUUUUUCAUACUAAUUAAAUUAAUUUUUUAUUUAGGUCUGUACACCUCAAUGUCACUAUAUUUGGAAGUCAGGCACAUGAGAUGUCACAUUACCUGAAAAGUAACACCACCAUUACUUGUGUUGUUAUAGUGAUGCAGUUCGUGAAACUUAACGUUUGGAAUGGUUUGUAUUUUAUUAAUUAAUUUGUUUUCCAAUCUACUUUUAUUGACUAAUCUGUUUUUACAGGAAUUGGUCAAGCCCAAAGUCAUUUUGAUGUAACCAAAAUGUUCAUUAAUUCAGACAUUGUUGAAAUUAAUGAGUUUAAGAAAGAGUUAGUUUUUUUAGUUUUUAUUUAAACUUAUUUAUGUUAUUAUAUUUAUUUAGAUGAAUACAAUUUCUUAUAUUUAAUAAAUUAAUUUUAAACAUUGCAGAUUGAAGGCUAAUAACAAAGGAGGUAUGUCUGAAAAAAGCAUUACUACGCUCCCAAGCUACUCUACCUCUUAUAUAGAUGAUUUUAAAGGCGAUUUCCCUUUAAAAACUGUUUGUGAGAUCACAGAACCACUUAAGGUAUAUGUUUUUUACUUUAUAUCUUUUAAUUUUAUUUGAACAUUGUAUUUUUUUUUAAUUUUACAUUUUAUUUGAUAUAGGAAAUGAAAUUUCUAUUAGUUGGUUCCAUCGUCAAUAUAAGACAGAAUCUACCUUGGUAUUACGAUGCGUGCUACAAAUGUGGAAGAAGGAUAAACAAUGUGCCCAAAACCAAUCUUUCCUAUACCGCCCCCGGCAAGAUGGAAGAUAGUGUUGUAAUUAAGUGUAAAAAUGCAGCUUGCAACGAUUCGAAUUUUCAUACUGUUAUAAAGUAUACGCAUACCUCCAUUUAUAUUAAUCAUUUCAAUCAUUCAACAAAAUUACUAAUAAUCUAAUAUUUUUUAGGUAUAUAAUUCCAAUCAACGUACAAGAUCAUACUGGCACCAUCGGAUUCACUCUUUUUGAUAGGGAAGCAAAAAGAUUGUUGGAUAUAAGUGCAUUCGAGUUGAAAAAAAUACAUGAGGAGGUAUAGUUUUUUAUUCAUAUUUUUCUAUCAAAUAACAUUUUAUUUGUUUUAAUAUAUUAAACAAUCUUCUUACAGGUUGGUGACAGUUUGGAACUAUAUCCAAAUCAUAUGAACGUGUUGAAAAACCGCAAAUUUGCGUUUCUUGUAGAUGUUACAUCCCACAAUGUCACCAACUAUAACAAUAUCUACACCGUUGUCAAACUUACAGAAGAUGAGUCCGUUGUUUUAGAAUUGGAAAGUAAACUAGAACUUAUGGUAAAUAAUGUUUUAAUGUUCAAUAUUUAUAUUUAUUUUUUAUUUANUUUUAUUUACUACAUAACGUUUUACAUAUUUCCAUAUUAUUUUCUAGAGUGUUCAAUCAGUGUCCUUAAAUGAAGUACCCCUGGAAUCAGAUGAGGUCGUUCAAAAUGUUCAAAAGGUAUGUUAUAUUCUCAUAUUAAGUUUUAUUUAUUAUUUAUAUUUAAUUAGAUCGCUUGUCAACUUAUGUUUUUUUAAUUUAGGAUGUCAUAUCACAAACGGAUGAGAAUUUUACUCCCUCGACAAUUGAUAAAUCAUCCGCAACAAGUCCAUUGAAAAUAUCAGUUGAUUUGAAGCGCAACCUCCAUGACAUUUAUGAUGUUGAUGGUGGAGGUGAUUUGAGUUCAAUAAAAUCUAAAAGAAAAUCAAUGGGAGAGGGAAACCCACUUUUAGUUCCAAAAGUGGAAAAGUGAGUUGUUAUGGUGAUGACGUUUAUGAUCUAGAAGAUGAUGGUGAUGCAAAUUCUAUAAAAUCAAAUACGGAAUCUUUUGGUGAAGAUACUCCAGUUUGGGUGCCAAAAGUGGAGAACUGAGUUGAUUAUGGUUUUUAAAAACAAUUAUUAAGUUUGGUUUUGUUUUAAAGACUAUUUCGUUGUUUCGUUCAAGUAUUUUGGGGACUUUCGUUAGUUUUUAUACGUUUGUUUUGUUUAUUUGAAGUGGUUUAACAGUACAUUUUUACUUAUUUGACACUUUCGCUUUAAAAUUUGUUUCUAUCACAAUUACACUAAAAUUAAUCUUGGAAAAUAAUAUGUUUAAAAACAGUUAAAUUUAAAUUAACAACAACCAAUGUACUUGUGUACAAGGGCAUAACGAAUAGUUUUUACAUUGUAAUUAAUAAGAAAUAUAUUAAAAUAAUUAAAACCAUUGAAUUUCAGUUUUAAAUUAGGUUUGACCGUUUAGAGGAAAAAGUUGAAGAACAUAUAUUUUUCCUGUUUAUUCUAUUUAUGUUCUAUAAUUCGUCAUAUAGUUCAUUCCAUAGGGACCAUUCUUACACAUUUUAUCACCAAAAGGACCAUUUGUCCUAUCAUUGUUUGUUUUUCUGUUUAUGUCGUAUACUAAAAAAACUAUCAUUAUUUCUUUUUAAUAGAAAAGGACAAUUCUGCCCUUAUAUAUGGACCAUUUUACCAAAUAACUUAUUUCAUAAUAUAGCGCCCUACUUUUCAUAAAAACCGACAUAAAGGGCAAUGGACUAAUAGGAAUGAACCAAAAAAAGGCAAUCAACUAUAAAGCGACAUAAAACAUACCAGGAGCAUCAACAAGGGCAAAAAGGCCAAUAAACCUCAUAUGAAGGAAGCAAGAAUCAUCCGAAACCAAGUAUACCAGUGUCUAGCAAGAAAAAGACAACAAAAUCAAGUAGUAAUGAAUAUCGAUGAAGCCACCCAACACAAAAAGGAAAAACAUUCCAGCUUAUAGCAAAACCAAAAGGGCAAAACAGUCCAUCUAAGAGAAACAUCAGGUCAAUGGUUUAUAAUCUUUAUCAAUCAACACAUCAAUAGGGUUUAACAGGUUAAACAAAAGAUGGUUGACAAUUGUUUGUUAAUUGUGAUUUAUAAGAUUAUUAUAUUUGAAAGUAAAAGCUAAGAGUUUUGGAUCUCCCUUUCCGGUAUCUGAUCAUAAUUUUCCUAUUCAGUAUUAAAACAAUUUUCCUAUUCCAUGGCUAUUUACUUUUCAUUAUUGCAGUUUUUUAGCCAAAUGGCAAAAACUUCAAAUUCGUAUACAAUAUAAAAAUAAAAAUAAAAAUAUGUUAUUCUUUGUGGAAACCACGGGUAAGAAUAAAAUAUUGAUAAUUAAAUAUUGUAAUCACUAAUCAAAGACUUCUAAAAAUUUGGAUAGACUACCGAUAGCAAUAGUAGUAUAAUGCUUAAUUAAGAAAAAAAAAAAAAAAUAGACGUAACAAAAAGAUAGUAUUUUACACAAGCAAAACCAAAAUGUGUGAAACUUUUUUGAAGAAAAAAGCAUUAUUUGUUGCUAAUUUCUAUAUUUCCUCAACUUCCUUUGUGCCACCAUAUAGUUUUGUUGUAUCACAUGUGGUCAUAGCCCAGUUAUAAUAAGCCUAUAGUUAGACAAAAUAAAAUUAGCAUAUGUUAAGAAGAUAAACUUAAUUAUACUCACAUUCAAUUUUUUCUUACUUCAUGAAGGGUAGGGUUUAUAUUGGUAGCUAUAACACAGUUUUGGCAAGGUUCUUCAAGUUAAGCAGCUUUGGAAGCUGUAUUAGUACCUCACACUGUACAUGAGAUAAUGCAGCAACUCCGGUCCAUCCUUUUAUUGGGUAUGCAGCUUGAAGAUAUAUCAAACAAACAAAAACUUGUCAUUUUUUCUAAAAUAAGCGCUUAACAUUUUUUUUUCUUUUAUCAAGUGUUUUUUAAAGAAAAUAUUAUAUGACAAACUAACAAAACUAUUAUAUGAAUACAAAUAUUUUUUGAGGUAAAUAAAUAUUUUAAAUAUGGGAAAAUGACUUAAAAUGGUAAUUAUAUUUUUGUAAGAACAUUGUUAUUUAUUGCAAUUUGCAUCAGGUGACCAUGUCCAGAAAGAAGCAAUUUGCUUAGAGUUUUGGAUCUCCCUUUCUGGUAUUUGAUCAUAAUUUGGUAAAAUUCAUGAUUAAAACAAUUUUCCUAUUCCAUAGCUAUUUACUUUUCAUUAUUGCAGUUUUUUAGCCAAAUGGCAAAAACUUCAAAUUCGUAUAAAAUAUAAAAAUAAAAAUAAUAAUCUGUUAUUCUUUGUAUUUAAUAGAAAAGUAUAAUUAUGCCCUUUCCUAUUAAUCUUGCCCUGUUCCUAUCAUUGUUUGUUUUUCUGUUUAUGUUGUAUACUAAAAAACUAUCAUUAUUUAUUUUUAAUAGAAAACGACAAUUCUGCCCUUAUAUAUGGACCGUUCUACCAAAUAACUUAUUUCAUAAUAUAGCGGCCUACUUUUCAUAUAAAGCCACAUAAAGGGCAACGGAGUAAUAGGAAUGAACCAAAAAAAGGCAAUCAACUAUAAAGCAACAUAAAACAUACCAGGAGCAUCAACAAGGGCAAAAAGGCCAAUAAACCUCAUAUGAAGGAAGCAAGAAUCAGCAGGCAUCCGAAACCAAGUAUACCAGGGUCUAGCAAGAAAAACACAACAAAUUGAAAUAGUAAACAACAUAAAUGAAGCCACCCAACACAAAAGGGAAAACAUUCCAACUUAUAGCAAAACCAAAAGGGCAAAACAGUCCAUCUAAGAGAAACAUCAGUUCAAUGGUUUGUAAUCUUUAUCAAUCAACACAUCAAUAGGGUUUAAUAGGUUAAACAAAAGAUGGUUGACAAUUGUUUGGAUCUCCCUUUCUGGUAUCUGAUCAUAAUUUUCCUAUUCAGGAUUAAAACAAUUAAUUUAUUGAGCAUACUGUAUCUACUUUUGAAUCAAAUAUGAUAACAUAAGACUUAGUUUUUUAUGUUCUUUUGUUUCGACUAAAUAAGAAAAAUGUAAGGUACAAUAAACAAAUUAAUAAGUUUUAGUUUCCAAAUACAAGAAUUAUGCAUAAUACUAAAUAUAUAAAUUGUUUUCAACACACGGUGUUUUUUUUUUUUAAUUUUUUUAAUAUGAAAUUAUUUAUGUACAAAUAAAAUUUUAAAAUACAAUCUAAAUUAAAUAAUAUUAAGAAAUAUCACAAAAAAUGAAACUUCAAGGUAUUUUUUUAUUUACUCGUAUUAAUAUAAAUCAAUGAAUAAUUUUGCACAAAAUUAAGCCUAAUGUUUAGCAAAUUCAAAUUUCAAAAUUUUAAAAUAAUACUCACACAAUACGAAAUUCAAAACUUUUAGCAAAUUGAAAAAUACCUGAUUGUGUUUCCAUUCUUAAUCGAUUUCGAGGUAUUCUUUUGAAGUUCUUCACUUUUCGCUGAUAUCUUUAUAAACAAGAUUUCUGCAAAAACAAAACCAGGUAAAUUUCUUCCCAAUAAUGUAUGUUCUGUUAAUAAAACCUAAAGAUUCACAAACAAUUGACCAUCUCUUACCUUCAAUCUUGCUGUCUUCAACCCCCAUUUUUUCGUUUCUUCAGUCUCUGAGUCCGACAUCAACUAUUUAUCUACUGUAAGUCUCUGAGUUCGACAUCGACUUUGGUUGUAAGUUUCUCUUCCACAUCUCUUACCUUCGUCACUUCCUUCAUCGACUAUUAAUUGAUGUAAGUCUCUGGUGACGAUAUCCUCUUCCGAAUCGUUCCACAUUCCAUUUCAAAACACCCGAUAAUAUGUAACUAAUCGCAUCCUUCUCAUUUCCUGAUUUUCGAGAAUAUCGACACAAAUCGUUCUAUGUUGUUUAAUCGUCAAGGUUCUGACCUACAUACACAUUCUGAAUGAUAGCUCCAUUUCAUUUUUUGUACGCCACAAACGAGAUUUGUAGUCAAUUGGAUAGAUAUGUUUAGGGCUAUGUUUAAUUGUACCCAUCCAUUCGUCAUUUCUUUCUUUUUCAAAUACCUAAAAAUGGAGAAAUGUAGAUUCGUACGGUAGGUUUGGGAGGUUAGGGAUGUUUCAUACGUGGCUGCCAAUUUUUGAAAAUAGGGGAUAUUAAUGAUAAAUUAUACAUUUCAAAGUGUAUAAAGUAAAAAAAUUAUUAACCUAUAAUAAAUCUAUGACUAUAAUGACAAUAUUAAACUGCAAUUCUAUACUACAAUUUAUAAUUUAAAAAAAAAUUAGUGGUAUUAAUGUAUAUAAUAUUGAUGUACAAAUCAUUUUUAAGACAAAUGAUUUAGUGGUAUUGUCAUUAUUUUAUAUUUAUGUUUUCUUGACAUAAAAAUAUUAGAUUGUAACUACAUUACAACUAUGGUCCCACUUAUAUUAUAUUUACUUUAAUUAUUUUUUUUCUUGGCUUUCGUCUAAUUUUAAAUAAUAAAUCCGGUUGUGUUGUUUUAUUAAUUAUGUGCAUAGCAUUUAUUUUAUUAACUAAAUUGUGUUAAUUGUUCAGAACGCAAGCAGAUCAUGAAGUCGGUUAAUUCUAAAAAGACUAGAAAAUUAAAUACUUUUUACUUAGAAAAUAGACAACACGUUAAUUUGUCUGCUACAUCAAUCCAACAAUCUUCAACCGUUACUAAUGUUCUUUCUUCAAUUAACAACGGUAUGUUUAUCAUUUACCAUUUUUUAAUUUUAAUUUUAUUUAUUUUUUAAGUUCUUUGUAUAUUUUUUAAUAACAUAAAAAUAUGUACUAUUCUAACACCAACCCGUAUUAACAUGACAAGAUAAAGCAAAUAUAUUAUCUACUUCGUUGUACGUUGAAUCUUCAUCAUCUGGAAUAUUUUUUAACAAAGGUUACAAAGAUACAUUUAUUUCUUCACUAUUAUUAAUAUUCUAUAUCGAUACAAUUAUCUACCUAUUGUUAACUUUAUAUCAUAUGCUUAUAUUUCUUAUGCAGAAAAAAACAACCAUAUGUACUACUUGCAAGCAAAAGAGAAUAGAAGACGGAGAAAAUUAUAUUUGGAUAAUAAGCGAUUGAAGGCAACAAAUAUAAGAUCCAGCAUUAUAAAUCCAUCAACUCCACAUGUCUUAAAAAACAUGGAUAGCUGUAAUUUUCUUAUUAAAAUCAACCACGUUUUACACUUCUUUUAACUGAAAAAUACAAUACAUAAAUUCUCAUCUUUUUAUGUUAUUACCCUAUAAUCUUAUAUAAUUUUACCUUCUUAUUUUGUUUUUUACGUCAUGUCUUCAAUUUUAAUAAUAUAUUUUUUUGCAGAUCAAUUUAAGAGCGUUGGUCUUCAAAAUGAAAAUGUUCAUUCAUAUAGAUCUCGAGGAAAUGAAAAUACGCCGUUACAAUUUUCUCCUUCAUACAUAAAUGUUAGAACUCCGUUAUCUAACAUUACAAAUGGUAAUAAUUUUAUUUUUAAUUUUACUAUGAUGCAUUCUCUAAUAAAUUUAUAAUCUUUUUUUUAAUAUACUAUUAUUUGUUUCAGCUAACAUUGGUUUCAAUAACUACCCCACUUCAACGUUAGCAAAUAAAAGUAACUACUCUGUGCUUUCAAAAGAUAUGACAUCCAGAACUGCAUCUACAAUAUGUCAAUCUUCAUCAUCGAUCAUGUUAAAUCCAGGAUGUCAUAAAUUAAAAAGGAAAUCGAAACAUUUAUCUCCUAUUCCAUUAAUUGACCUAACAGCAGAUAUAGAAAAUAUACAUGAGGUCGUAUCUGAAAACUUAAUCGUUGGUAUUUCCAAAGGUAAACAAAAAUAUAUCCAUUUUUAUUAUUUUUUACAAAUCAAUUCCUAUAUGGUAUAUAUUUAUAAAGUUACUAUUAUAUUAAUAACACUUAAUUUUUUUACAGAAUAUUUGGAUCAUGGUGAUCAGAUUGUUGUAUGCCAAACAUGUCGUGCAAAGUUAUGGACAAAUGAAUCCAUUAGAGGCAAACAAAAAAAGAGCACCAAUUUUUCAUUAUGUUGUGGUUAUGGCAAGGUUCAACUACCAGAUUUAAAAAAGGCACCACCAACUUAUGAAAGAAUGUUUCAAUCAAACGAUUGUAAAAGCAAAAACUUCAGGAAAAAUAUACGACGUUACAAUUCAAUGUUUUCUUUUACAUCGAUGGGUGGUAAGAUUGAUUCUUCAAUCAAUAGAGGAAAUGCUCCAUACAUUUUCAGACUUGGUGGCCAAAAUUAUCAUAGUAUUGGAAGUCUUUUACCAGCAAAAGGAUUGCAACCAAAAUUCUCUCAGUUAUACAUUUAUGAUACUGAUAAUGAAAAUUCAAAUAGGCAGAGAUGUUUUCGGUAAUUUUCAAUUUUCUUAUUCAUACUCUAUUUUAAUAUAUAUAUAUAUAUAUAUAUAUACCUAUAUUGCUGAUGUUAUUUAUAUUUUCCAUUCAUAUAGUGGGGAAAACCAACAAUCUACAUCAUUUGAUAAUGAUAUUAUUGAAGAAUUGAAGGUCAUGCUAGAUUCAAAUAAUGUUUUGGUUAGCUCUUAUAGAAUGGUAAGAGAUGCUUUUCAGAAAAAUCCUCACGUUGAUAUGAAGUUAAGAAUUAUCGGGAAAAGGAAUCGUGAUGGAAGAACAUAUAACCUACCAACUGCUUCUGAGGUUGCAGCUUUAAUUGUAGGUGACAUUUCAGAUUCGAUUGAAAAUAGAGAUAUCGUUGUUCAAACAAAAUCGGGUUUUCUACAACGUAUCAGUGAAUUGCAUCCUUCUUACCUUCCUCUCCAAUAUCCACUACUAUUUCCAUAUGGGGAUGAUGGUUAUAGUGUUGACAUUCUUCAUAGAGGAAUUACAGAUACAACCAACAGCAAGCGGGCGACAUGUACAAUGAGAGAAUUUUUCGCUUUUAGAAUUCAAGACAGGGAUCAUUCGUUCUCACUGAUUCUUAAUUCAAAAAGGUUGUUUCAACAAUUUCUGGUAGAUGCGUAUACUAUGAUUGAAAGUGAGAGAUUGCAUUACAUACGCAGACAACAACAUGUUCUUAGAUGCGAGUCUUAUGAGAAUUUACGUAAGCAAAAAGCUCAAGGAGCUACAAGUAUCUCCAACGUCGGACAACGUGUGAUAUUACCUUCAUCAUUUACUGGUGGUGCACGCUAUAUGCUUCAAAACUAUUUGGAUGCCAUGUCGUUAUGUAAAUGGUAUGGAUAUCCUGAUUUCUUCAUAACCUUUACGUGUAAUCCCAAAUGGCCAGAGGUGAAAAGGUUUCUUAAGGAUACUUCACUUCAACCAGAAGACAGACCUGAUAUACUAUGUAGGUUGUUCAAGAUCAAGCUUGAUGCAUUUAUUAAAGACUUAAGGAAGAAUCAUAUCUUCGGCAUAGUUCAAGCAGGUAUUUAAAAUUAACUUAUUUCAUAAUUCAUGAGAUUAAAUGCUUUUUAUUUCAUAUUUUUAACAUUUUGCUUAUGGUCUAACCAUAUUGUUUUGUGCAAAAUAUUUUGCAGUUGUUUAUACAAUUGAAUUUCAAAAAAGAGGUUUGCCACAUAGUCAUAUAUGUCUAUUCAUGCAUUCUGACUACAAGCUACCCACUGUUGAAUUAAUCGAUCCCAUAAUAUCCGCCGAAAUACCAAACAAAGAUGAAGAUCCUGAAUUGUAUUCACUUGUGAAUGAGUUCAUGAUUCAUGGUCCAUGUGGAGCUGAAAAUAUCAAUUGCCCAUGCAUGGUGGACAAAAAGUGCUCUAAAAACUUUCCAAAGCAAUUCUGCAAUCAUACAUCUGUUGAUCAGGAUGGUUUUCCCUUAUAUAGGAGAAGAAACAAUGGUCAUUUUGUUGAAAAAUCAGGUGUCAAGUUGGAUAAUAGAAAUGUUGUCCCCUACAACAAAUAUCUAUUGAAAAGAUAUCAGACACAUAUUAAUGUUGAAUGGUGCAAUCAGGGAUCGUCUAUAAAGUAUUUAUUCAAAUACAUAAACAAAGGACCAGAUAGAGCUACAAUUGCCGUUGUACGAAGCAACAAUGAUUGUGAUAAUCAUGAUGUGGUCGAUGAAAUAAAUGAAUAUUACGAUUGUAGAUAUUUAUCUGCAUGUGAAGCAUCAUGGCGAAUUUUUACAUAUGAUGUUCAUUACAGAUAUCCUUCUGUGGUUAGACUACCUUUUCAUCUUCCUGGUCAACAACAGAUUGUAUAUGGGGAAGACGAUGAUAUUGAUGAUGUUUUGGACAAACCUUCUGUUGCUGCUUCAAUGUUCACAGCUUGGAUGGAGUGUAAUGUAAUUUCAAGUGAUGCACGAAAACUUACGUAUGUUGAGUUUCCUACAAAGUUUGUUUGGAAUCGUAAGGAUAGGUUUUGGAAGCCUAGGGAAGUAGGAAAGUGCAUUGGUAGAAUUCAUUCGGUUUCACCUAAUCUUGAGGAAGCUUAUUUCUUAAGGAUUCUUUUAAAUAAGGUGAAAGGUCCGAGAUCAUUUGAAGAGAUUCGCACAGUAAAUGGUGAAGAAUAUUUGUCUUUUAGAGAUGCUUGUUAUGCUCUUGGGCUUUUGGAUGAUGACAAAGAAUACAUCGAUGCAAUUAAAGAAGCAAGUCAUUCUGGAUCUGGUUUUUAUCUACGAUUUUUAUUUGCCACAUUGUUAAUGUGUAACAGUAUGUCUAAACCAGAAGUUGUUUGGGAAAAUACAUGGGAAUAUUUGGCGGAUGGAAUUCUUUAUAAUCAACGACAGAGAUUAAAGUUAUCAGGUAUUAAAAUAUUAUUAUUAUUAUUUAUUUAAAAAUUAAAUUAUUUAUUUUCUAACAUGCAUUUGAUAAAUUUUUAAUUAUAAGUAAAUAUUGGUAAUAAUAUAUGUAAUUAAUCUGAUAUUUUGUCCUCCAGGCUUAACUCUUAGUGAAGAUCGGCUUAUGAACUUAACUCUAUACGAGAUAGAACAGAUUUUACUUCGUAACAACAACACUCUCAAAAAUUAUAAAAACAUGCCUUACCCGGACGUUGAUUAUGUUUCUUCUUCAAACAAUCGACUUAUCACCGAGGAGCUAGAUUAUGACAUUUCCAUUAUAAAGACUGAGUUUGACCGUAUGUUUCUUGCAUUAACAAAUGAGCAACGUGACAUUUUCCUUGAUAUCAUGGGUGCAGUUAAAAAAAAUAAAGGAGGUGUCUUCUUUGUUUAUGGUUAUGGUGGAACAGGUAAAACUUUUUUAUGGAAGACAAUAUCUGCAGCAAUUAGAUGUGAUGGUCAUAUCGUUUUAAAUGUUGCUUCAAGUGGAAUUGCUUCAUUAUUAUUGCCCGGAGGUAGAACAGCCCACUCUCGAUUUAUAAUUCCAUUUGAACUUACUGAGGAUUCUGUAUGUAACAACAACACUCUCAAAAAUUUUAAAAACAUGCCUUACCCGGACGUUGAUUAUGUUUCUUCUUCAAACAAUCGACUUAUCACCGAGGAGCUAGAUUAUGACAUUUCCAUUAUAAAGACUGAGUUUGACCGUAUGUUUCUUGCAUUAACAAAUGAGCAACGUGACAUUUUCCUUGAUAUCAUGGGUGCAGUUAAAAAAAAUAAAGGAGGUGUCUUCUUUGUUUAUGGUUAUGGUGGAACAGGUAAAACUUUUUUAUGGAAGACAAUAUCUGCAGCAAUUAGAUGUGAUGGUCAUAUCGUUUUAAAUGUUGCUUCAAGUGGAAUUGCUUCAUUAUUAUUGCCCGGAGGUAGAACAGCCCACUCUCGAUUUAUAAUUCCAUUUGAACUUACUGAGGAUUCUGUAUGUAAAAUAAAUCGAAAUAGUGAGCUCGCUAGCUUAUUGAGAAAAACAUCUUUGAUAAUUUGGGAUGAAGCACCUAUGGUCCAUAAGCAUGCAUUUGAAGCUUUAGAUCGAAGUUUAAAAGAUGUAUUGAGGUCUGAAAAUUCUACCGAGUCGAAUAUUCCAUUUGGAGGGAAAGUUAUUGUUUUUGGAGGAGAUUUCAGACAAAUUUUGCCUGUUAUUCCGGGUGGCAGCAGACAAAACAUUGUUAACGCUUCUUUAAGUUCUUCAUAUUUAUGGCAACAUUGCAAAAUCCAUAAGUUAACAAAAAACAUGAGGCUAACGGUUGGAAGGGAUCAGUCUACUGUAGAAAAAAUAAAAGAUUUUGCAGAAUGGCUAUUGGAUAUAGGAGAAGGAAAACUUGGUGGUCAGAAUGACGGUGAAACGGUUAUUGAUAUUCCAGAUGAUAUUCUCAUUAGUGAUCCAAAGGAUCCUAUAGGUUCAUUAAUUGAGUUUGUAUAUCCUUCGAUUUUGGAUAAUUACAACGAUACAAGUUAUUUUCAAGAAAGAGCAAUACUAGCUCCAAAGAAUGAAGUGGUUCAGGAAAUAAAUGACCGUUUGCUAUUGAAGUUUCCAGGAGAUGAGGUUGAAUAUUUAAGUUCAGAUAGUAUAUGCCAAUCUGAAUUUGUCCAUGAUCAGUUUGAUGCAGAUUUAUACUCACCUGAUGUUUUAAAUGGUCUCAAAGUUUCGGGUCUACCAAAUCAUAAGUUAGUUUUAAAAAUCGGUGUUCCGGUUAUGUUACUAAGAAAUAUUGAUCAAAAAAAUGGCUUAUGUAAUGGAACAAGACUCCAAGUGAUAUCAUUGGGCAAACGUGUUAUCGAGGCACGUAUCUUAUCUGGAACUAAUAUUGGAAAUCGGACUUUUAUUCCAAGAAUGUCUUUAACGCCAUCAGAAAAAAAAAAUUCCAUUCAAAUUCAAAAGAAGACAAUUUCCAUUGGCCGUAUGUUUUGCUAUGACUAUUAAUAAGAGUCAAGGACAAUCGUUAUCCAAGGUUGGCUUGUACCUCAAAGAUCCUGUUUUUUCACAUGGGCAAUUAUAUGUUGCCUUAUCUAGAGUUCAAAGCAGAGAGGGAUUAAAAUUGUUAAUUUUAGAUAAGGAUGGUAACCUAACCAAUAAAACUUCCAAUGUUGUUUAUAAGGAAGUUUUUGGUAAUUUAUAAUCAAUUAUUUUGUAUCAUCUUUUAUUUAUUUUUAGUAUUAAUUAAUUAAAUUAUAUAACUUGAUAAAAUUAUAUUAAUAUAUUCUAUUUGAUUUAUUCAUGUUAAUUAACUUAUAAUAUUUCAUUGUUUUUCCUUUAUUCAUGUUAAUUACAUUACUUUAAAUAAAUUUUUAUAAUUAAAAAUUCAUUAUUGUUUAAAAUAUAUAAAUUUUAAAUACUUACAAAUGCCAAUCUUAAUAAAAUAAAUAUACUAUUAUUAUGUAUUUAUCUUCUUUUUUUUCUUAACUAUGGUAUCUUCGUUUAUUAUGUAAUCAAAAUUAUGAUUCUAUUUAAAUCAAUCAACCGUGGGUCCCACGGGUUUUACACCUAGUAAUCUCAUAUGGUUAUGUAAUAUUUUCAAUUAUACAUUUAACACAUAUUCUAGAUAACAAGCAAUUAAUUCACAUAUAAAAUAUACUAUUAGCAUAACAUUAUAAUAACCAUCUUAUAGCGUAAAUUUAAUCUUUUAGUAUUUAAUACUUAUAUUAAAUCAUGCUCAUUGAAGUAACUAUGCACUCACCUGAUUGAUGUAGAAGACUCGUAGGAAAUUUAGAUCAUUUUCUAACACUUCAACUUUCCCUUUUAAAAUGACAGGUUUUCUAGCGAAAACUUAGAAAAUCUAUGGGCAUAACUUCAUCACUGAAUCUUUCUUCUGAAAGAUUCUUCCAGCUCUUUAGCGCUCAACUCACGAAGGAACGACAUGCUCGAGGGUAAGAAGAUAAAGACUCUUAAAAAAGACUUGGGUGCAAUAAAUAUGAGAGCCUAAAGCCUCAUAUUUAUAGUAAACGAAUUUUCAAAAAGUACCCUUAUAAUUACUUAAACGACUAAACGACCAUUAAUAAUACUAUUUUAACUAGAUUUAAUGAUAUUUGUAUUAAACUAAUGUUGAAAGUAUUCAAUAUUAUUUUUAUAUCGGCCGCAUCGUCGAUACCUUUCUAAUGACCUAAAAAUGUGUGUGUGUGUGUGUGUAUAUAUAUAUAUAUAUGAUUUAUACUUUAUUUUACUGUAUAACUACUCUAUUAUAAAUCAUAACUUCUUCAUACUAACUCUAUUCUUGACGUUAUAUCCCCACUUUUGUAUCGACGAGUACUACAACUUUCAUUUUGACGCCGUUGGUUGAUUCUCAUUCUGUUUUAAAUUUACAAUUUUGUACAGGUUACACUACGAAAAAGCUGCAUAUCAAGCUUAGGGACAAAGUUUCCUUUGUAUCUUUCGCAUACGAGCUCCGUUUUCAACGUUCUUUAUAUUUUCGAUUUUUUAAUUAUGAUUACUAAGAAUUUCAUUUAGAUCACUUACGCUAAUAAGAAACCUAUCUCUGAUUCAUAUUUUAUGACACACGUUGUCGUGUAGGACAGAACUCAAAUCUUUGAAAAAAUUAUAAUUUUCUCAUACAAAGUUAGAUUUAAAUGUUCUAUAUAUCCACGUGCUCGUGGUUACAUUCUCUAUGACUUUUGAUUAUAUUAUUUAUCCAAAAUAAUCUUUUAUUUUUAAUGUUAUUUUAUCGUUUAAUGAUAAUUUUUAUAUUAAGAUUUUCUGCAAAUAUUAUAUAAUCUAAUAUUUGUUUACAUAUUGUGUAUAUAUUAAUUAUUUAUUAGCUUGUAACAUGUACGAAGAACAAUUUCCCUAUUCAAGGAUUUUAAGUGUUCGAUAAAAUAUAUAAUUAUUAUUAUACCUUAAACAUCUAGCCAAAUUUGCAGGUGUUAUACAUUGGCCCGUUCCCUAAUCCAAUUAUAAUAAGGACUCUAAUCAGAAUGGUAAUGUAACUACACGUCACUAAAUCAAUCUUUAACUUUAUAUUAUGCAAUACUUAAUCUUGUAAUUAAUCUCAAUAGUCAUGACAAUUAACUAAUGCACAUGUACAUUAAAGUUCAUUUCUUUAUUAACAUAAUCCUAAGACUUUGUCUAUCUCUAGUCAUAUUUGUCGAUGGUCAUUAACAACUAUGAUUCAAGCAUACACAAUUAGAUUGGUCCUCUAAAUCAUGCAAACUCAACAAUAGGCAACAAAGAUGUAAACUUUUAUACAUAUAGAUCUUUGAUAAAGCAAACAUAAUAAAUUUGACAACUUCCAAGUAAGGAGUUGCCUCAAUACUUGUUUUCACAUAGUACUAUCUCAACCGAUCCCAUUAUGUUAUUUACGAGUUAAUGUUUUAGGUUCCUCUAUGACAUUUUAACAGUCUGCCGACCUAAUUCCAUAACAUUAACUCUUAUUGAUUAAUGUUUCAUUUAAGCGACCAUGUUACGUCGAAUUCCUCACAUGACCAUUUCUCCUUAUCCAAAAAUGACAAAGUUCAUGAACUUAACUGUUUCAUGCCCCUUUCAGGUUUCGACUUUGUCGAGUAACAAAAGUUUUCACAUUAUCGCUAACAUAAGUAUUUUUAAGAAAAUCUAAGAAUUAUCUCAAAUCGAAAUCUUUACCUAGUCAUGAUAAUGAGUCUACGAAAACAUUCACUUUUGACUAGUCUUCUACAUAAGUGAUGCCUAGAAAGACAUACUUUAUUACUUGGUUGAAUCCGAUCCAUAACAUACUGUGGUUCUACAUAAUUCUGGGACACUUGACGAUAAUAUCUAACAUAAGAUCGUUCCAUUUACCCAUAGGUAUAGGUAAAGGUCUCGAGUUCGCUCACAAUAUUUGAUGUCGUUCUCACUUUCCAACCAAAACAUAUAUUCUAUCAUCGACAUAACAACAAUCCAAGCAAAUAACUCUUCUCCUAGCUUCUUGUGCUGCAACUCUCUUGGAUCUUGACAUCGAAUCCAAAGUCGAGUUACCUUGCAUACUUUUGCCUUAAGGGUUGGUUUUCUCUCACUUGGCAACUACUUUUGGUUAACAUUUUAUGGUUAGGAGUAAUACACAAUGUAUGUACAUUUCUCAAUUAUAUAUAUAUAUAAAGUUCAAAGGACCUUAGGAAUAGUACCUUUUGUGGCUUUAGGUUUUUGCCACUAAUCUUUGGUGAAUUUGACACUUUUCAUCCUUGAAGUAAAAACUUUUACAUUUUUGUGCUUUGAUUAAGUUUUUUUGCCUCUAGGUUUUUGCCACAAAUCUUUAGCAACUUUGACACUUUCGUCCCUGCAGUAAAAACUUUUACAUUUUGACGUUUUUACCACAAAUUUUUAGUGACUUUGACACUUUUCGUUCUUAUGGUCAAAACUUUUACAUUUUGACAUAAAAAACAUAAAACACCACAUUUAGACUUUUGCCACCGUAUUUUCCCAACUUUGACAACUUUCAAACUAUUGCAACAACAUUUUUGGAUUUUCUCCACCAAUGUCCUUUCUUUUGGUUGUUGUACACUUUUGACAUCUAAUUUUAGAGGUUGUCAACUUUCUCCCCUAUUUGUGGCGAUUUACAUUUUCAGCACAUAUCUUUUAAAGUUUGUCGAGUUUUCUCAUAUUAUCUCAAUAGCGACAUAGCCGCGGGUCCUUUACUAGUUUAAAAUAAAAUUUAAGAAGAUAACACUCGUUUUCCAUAAAAAAAACAAAUGUUCUGUUUAUUUGGAUAUGCAACAAAAUAUAGAUAAUUUCCAGUUGGAAAGUUUGUUAGUGUAAAAAGAUAAGAAAAAAACAUUUUAUACCAAUUUUAUGUCCAAACUCUAACAAAAUCUUGAAUACUGGAUGGGCAUGCAAGACAUUUGAGUUUUAAAAACACUUUUAAGAUUAUUUAUAUAGCAUUAAUGACCAGUAUUCUCUUGGGCAAUAUGUACACUACAAAUAAGGCAAUUAAUUAAUAUUUUUAAAGAAAUGAGACUAUUGGUUAUUGUUUGUGACCAAGAUUAUUCUAUUUUUAGCAUAACGAGACUAUUGGUUAUUGAUUGUGACCAAGAUUAUUGUGACUAUCAGCACGACCCAACAACCAAAAUCAAUGCGUAAUGAUAAUUAACACAGAAAAUGAGAAAAUAAUGUAACUUUAGUUUCAAAUCUUGACAAAAGAAAAAUAAAAAUUCGGAAUUUAUGUGGGGCACCCUAAAUUGAAUGAAGAAAGUUGUUAUGGGACUUAUGAUGUUUGGCAUACUUACUUUGAUGUUUUCGAUCCUUGUAGGCCAAAAUAUUAAAAGUAAGUCUCCAAAUUAUGUGAUUUGAUUUUCUUGAAAUUGCAAUAAUCAUUUUGAACAACCCAACACCCCCACUUAAUCUCCCAAGUUACAUAACCUUUUUUCAACUUUGAAACAACGAUGAAGUAGAAACAAUACAAAACAUUUGAUUAGUAAUAAACCCCCGUCAUAUAUAUUUUGAAGGUCCCUUUAGUUCGAAUUUUCUUUAAGCUUUUGGAAGUGUGUAAGGAGAAUUUGACCAUGUAAUAUAGUAAAAAUUAUAAAUUUUAAAGAGAAGAAGCCUUUCUUUACAAAUUUGCUUAUGUUUUCAACUAGCUAAACAAAAAUAUAGGUUUGUUAGAACUUCAAAUGUACAAUCACUAAGGAGGUGUUUAGAUUGAGUUAGAAAAUAACUUAUCCGCUUAUUAGUUUUUUAAAAACUCAAUAAGUUUAAAAAUGUAUGGCAAACGUAAAAGUGUUUUAAGAUGUUUUAAAAAAAAUCAAUAUCUCCAAAAAUACAAUAUUUGACUCUAAUAAGUUACUCUUUUGAUAGAAAACGUUUCCGACAAAAGAACAGAUAACUAAAAAGAGAAAGAGAAAAGAUUUAAGUGUAUUCCGGAAGCUUUAAUAAACUAUUGCAGUGGAAAAGACAAUACUGACAAAACAUAAGGGUAGGAUGCAUAUAGAUUACGCGAUUACAUACAAAUAUUACAAGGGCACCAGUCAAAAGACCGUAAAACUCAUAGACAUAUACAAUAAUAUAUGUCUUUUAAUUUCAUACAAAGUAGUGCUCUCAUAUUUAUUUAUUCUAAUAUAUAUAUGCUUUUAUUCUGCGCAAGAUGCAUCCACAUCUCGACCUCACUGCACCCUGCAAAAAUCACCAUAUACCAAGUCACAUCAAUACAACUAACGUGUUUUCAUGCAAUAUUUAAACAAGUAGACGUAUACUUAAAUCUGAAACUGAUUAAAAAAAAAUAUAAGCACAUAUUUGCACAUACUUGGAGCAAUCAGUGUUAGGACUGAUCUGGUAAGGGAUGUUGACACCACACUUGCCGGGAAGGCCAGCUGCAUUGGCGGCUUUGAUGCCAGAAACAGAUUUGGAAGCAUUCUUUAAGCAGUUACAAGCCGUCUUACGAUCAGGGGUUGAUUUUGCAGCGCUAUUAAGUGACCUAACCCCAUUGCAACAUGCCGGUGGCACAGCACCACCAUUUCUUAGGUAGUUAAGACAUCCAGCUAAGUUGGCUGUCACCUGACCACAGGAAAUAGCAGCCUCGGUGUAGGGUGUCGCCACCACCAUGCAAGUCAACACUACACAUAAGAUCAUCAUUGCCAUUCUUGCCAUUUUUCGAGUAUACAAGCACUAAAGUCGUAGAAAAGUUAUGUGUGAUU
rnacentral:lncRNA from 1 species